rnacentral:lncRNA from 1 species
AAUUUGAGGGGUUAGAGCUCCAUCAUAUACCCCGACUGAAAAACCAGGCGGCUGAUGAUUUGGCAAAGAUAGGUUCCAAGAGAGAAGCCAUCCCCAGCGGUGUGUUCUUGGAGCAUAUCCAUACUCCAUCAGUCAAAGAAGAUCCUUUUACAGAAGAAGCUCCGUAGCCCAAGUGUGCCACAGAUCCGACUGAGGUUGAAGUUCCAGCAGUGGUCGACUUGGUCAUGGAGGCUUUAGUGAUCACUCCCAAUUGGACAGUUCCAUAUAUCGCGUAUAUCCUGAGAAAAGAGCUCCCGGAUGACGAGGAAGAGGCUCGACGGAUCGUCCGCCAAUCCAAAGCCUUUAUUGUGAUCAAAGGGCAGCUAUACAGAGAGAGCGCGACUGGAGUUGGUCAGAAGUGCAUAACGCCAGAAGAAGGUCGAAUAAUCCUUGAUGAUAUCCACUCGGGGACCUGUGGCCAUCAUGCGUCCUCUCGGACCAUCGUGGCCAAAGCAUACCGAGCCGGAUUUUACUGGCCAAGGGCGAAUGAAAUGGCAAAGGAGAUAGUCGACAAGUGUGAGGGAUGUCAAUUUUAUUCAAACAUGUCACACAAGCCUGCAUCAGCUCUGGAGACCAUACCACUCGUCUGGACCUUCGCAGUAUGGGUAUUAGAUAUGGUUGGUCCCUUGAGAACAGGACGAAGCGGUUUCACGCAUGUACUGGUAGCAGUCGACAAGUUCACCAAGUGGAUUGAGGCUAAACCCAUCAAGAACCUUGACGCCGGUACAGCUGUCAGCUUCAUCAGAGAACUAAUAUUCAGAUAUGGAGUCCCACACAACAUCAUCACUGACAAUGGAUCAAACUUCGAUUCGGAGGAAUUCAGGGCGUUCUGCACAUCUCAAGGUACACGAGUCGACUAUGCUUCAGUCACCCAUCCCCAGUCGAAUGGACAAGCGGAGCGGGCCAAUGGCUUGAUCCUCAUAGGGUUGAAACCCCGACUGAUGCGUGACCUCAAGCAUGCGGCUGGAGCAUGGGUCGAUGAACUUCCCUCGGUGUUGUGGGGUAUAAGGACCAUGCCUAACCGGUCGACUCGAAGAACUUCAUUCUUCUUGGUCUAUGGAGCUGAAGCGGUCUUGCCGAGUGAUCUGCUCCACAAUGCUCCUCGAGUCGAGCUCUACACCGAAGCUGAAGCAGAACAAGCGCGGCAGGAUGCAGUCGACCUUUUAGAGGAAGAAAGGGAGAUGGCUUUGAUCCGAUCGACCAUCUACCAACAAGACUUGCGUCGCUUCCACGCCAAAAACGUGAAGAGUCGAGCCUUCCAGGAAGGGGAUUUGGUUCUCCGAGUGGAUCAGCAGAAACCACACAAGCUUGCUCCUUCUUGGGAAGGACCCUUCGUCGUCACCAAGGUUCUUCACAAUGGGGCGUACCGUCUCUACAACGUAGAGCACAACAUCGACGAGCCCCGAGCUUGGAACGCGGAGUUGCUCCGCCCAUUUUACACUUAAGUAUUCACUCGGAUGAGUUGUAAUAAAAGUACUUAUGUAGUUCAUGUUUCGCAAGAUAAUAGUGUCAUAAUUUCCCCAAUGAUUUUUGUCACUUUUAUUUGUUCAGUAAAAUUCCCCCUCAGUGGGUGGCUUAGCUGCGAAUCUGUUUCGCCUAAGUUUGUAAAAAAAUCCUUACCGAGUGGAGAGCCGGCCUCCCACUCGGGGGGCUUAGCUGCGAAUCCGUUUCGCCUAAGUUUCAAUAAAAUCCUACCGAGUGGCGAGCCAGUCUCCCACUCGGGGGCUUAGCUGCAGUCCAAGUACUCGCCUAAGUUCCAAUAAAAUCCUACCGAGUGGCGAGCCAGUCUCCCACUCGGGGGCUUAGCUGCAGUCCAAGUACUCGCCUAAGUUUCAAUAAAAUCCUACCGAGUGGUGAGCCAGUCUCCCACUCGGGGGCUUAGCUGCAGUCCAAGUACUCGCCUAAGUUUCAAUAAAAUCCUACCGAUUGGUGAGCCAGCCUCCCACUCGGGGGCUUAGCUGAAGUCUAAGUGCUCGCCUAAGUUCAAAUUCAAUGUGCGCUUCGCAAGGAGGAUGAGGUGCAGGUCGACUGCUACCCUCUCCUCCGAGCUUCGCCACAAGUACAACAUGCGCUCGCAAGGAGGACGAGGUGCAGGUCGACUGCUACCCUCUCCUCCGAGCUACGCCACAAGUACAAUGUGCGCUCGCAAGUAGGACGAAGUGCAGGUCGACUGCUACCCUUUCCUUCGAGCUACGUCACAAGUACAAUGUGCGCUCCGCAAGGAGGACGAGGUGCAAGUCGACUGUUACCCUCUCCUCCGAGCUACGCCACAAGUGUAAUGCGUUCUCCAUAAGAAAGACGCCGUAAAAAUCCUACUGAGUGGAGAGCAGACCUCCCACUCGGGGGGCUUAGCUGCAGCCCAGUACUCGCCUAAGUUUUGAAAAUCCUACCGAGUGGAGAGUAGACCUCCCACUCGGGGGGCUUAGCUACAGCCCAGUGCUCGCCUAAGUUUUGAAAAUCCUACCGAGUGGAGAGCAGACCUCCCACUCGGGGGCUUAGCUGCAGCCCAGUGCCCGCCUAAGUUUUGAAAAUCCUACCGAGUGGAGAGCAGACCUCCCACUCGGGGGCUUAGCUGCAGCCCAGUGCUCGCCUAAGUUUUGAAAAUCCUACCAAGUGGAGAGCAGACCUCCCACUCGGGGGUUUAGCUGCAGCCCAGUGCUCGCCUAAGUUUUGAAAAUCCUACCGAGUGGAGAGCAGACCUCCCACUCGGAGGCUUAGCUGCAGCCCAGUGCCUGCCUAAGUGAAUUGGGGAACAAGUCGAUUGCAAUAAGCACCUCGCUUUAACCUGCAAAAGAUACCUCAAACAAAUGCAAGUAUAUUUAAAACGUCGAAUCCAAAUUCGGAUAACACCUAACGGAACCGAAAGUGCUAAGGCGCUAAGCCUGUUAAGGUUUGUCGGUUACAAAAAUCACUCGGCAUACCGAGGCAAAUUUAAAGUGUUGAGCUCAAGAAGUUUUUUACCCCUCCUAUGGAGGGCUGGAAGGUGCAACAAACUCGUCAAGGUCGAUUCCAUCAGCAAUCCGAGUGGCAGCAGCGAUGAAGGUCUCCAUGAAAGACCGGAAAUCAUGCUUCUUGGUGUUAGCCACCCGAAGGGCCGCCAACUUAUCUUCUCGUGCAUCCUUGCAAUGGACUCGGGCCAGAGAUAGAGCAACAUCUGCACCACACCUGGCAGAAGACUUCUUCCACUCCUGCACUCGACUUGGGACCGCGUUCAGUCGAGUCAUAAAAGACUCGAGGUCGUUCUGGAGCGUCUCUCUAGGCCAGAGUGUGGCGUCAAUGCGAGAAGUGGCGACCUUCAGCCUUGCGAGAUAGUCGACGACGGCAGCGACAUGAGAUUCGAGCCGGAGCACAUUCAUGGCAGCUUCAUCCUUCACAGGAGAGUUGAUGGGGUCCAAGUUUACUUCCAGUCGGCCAGUUUCCUCUUCAAAGUUCUGACAAAAUUCUGCAAGCACAACCACCGAGUCAAGGCAACAGUCGAAUGGAAAGAUCACAGUUGAAAUACCUGUUUAGUGCAAAAGAUUACCUUCGAGCAUGAGGAAUAGCUUCUUGGCGAGUCCACCCAGAUAGGCCUCCAGAUCGUUCUUCUUCCCCACCAACUCACUGGCCUUGUCACUCAGGGCAAUCUUAUCACUUUUCAGUUGACUGACCUCUUUGUUGGCAGCAUCAAGAGCAGCUUUCAGAUUGGUGUUUUCUUCUUCAAGCUUGGUGACCGAAGCCAACUUCUCGUCUGUGAGCUUGGUCUUCUCUAAAGCUGUUUUUUGCAUCUCAGCCAACUCAAGGUCUUUCUUCUUCUGAGCAUCCUUCACUUUGCCUGCAAAGUUACAACAAGGUCAGACUUUGAAACAAAUGAGGGGCAAAGGCAGUCAUCAAAAGCCUCACCAAACAUACCUUUGGCUUCCUCCUUCGCCUUCGCUAAAUUCUCCUGGACCAGCUUCAGAUCAAGCUCGAGCUGGAUGUGUUUGUUCUCCAACUCAGUGUAAUGAGCCGCAAGGUCGCAGGAUUUCUACGAAGAACCAAUCGACAGUUGUCAAAGACAAUUCACUUUCGAGUGACUAAGGAAAAAUCAUACGUUUCUAAGACUACGGCCGAAUGCAAACAUUUGACCAUAGUCUCGGGGACUACACCUAGUGGGUGCACUCAGCGUGCCCCCACUAGUUCUAUCAAGUCAGAGUCGACCAGUCGACCAACACAAAAAAAAUGGGGGAUGUUCUUCAGACUGUAGUCCAUUGCCAGCAAUCGACCACAGUCUCGGGGACUACACCUAGUGGGUGCACUCAGCGUGCCCCCACCGGUCUGGAAAUCCAUUCGACCUAGUCGAAUGAAGGAAAAACUUAAACUAUAAAGACUAUGGUCGACUGCCAGUAGUCCACCAUAGCCUUGGGGACUACACCCAGUGGGUGCACUCAGCGUGCCCCCACUAAACCAGAAUUCCAAUCGACACACCCAGUGGGUGUAGGACAAUCACUAUGAAUUUCAGAAAGAAGAAUUUUCAGAUAUCAUAUCCUAACAGAACAGGCGGUGACCGACUGACCUGAACGUUACUCUGAAGAGCUGAACUGGCGUCAUAGGCGGACUGGAUAGCUUCUCGGAUGGCCUUCACUUGCUCCAUCAUGACUCCCGCCUGGCGUAUUGCUUCUUUCGCAGCACUGGCUUGGUCCUCUGGGACGAAGUGGGUCGAGAAAAGUGACGGCUGUGCAGCACUCGAUGAUGAGGGGCGAGCACUCGUCAACGGCACCGCAAAAGAUACGGUAGGUCGAGUGAUGUUCUCUCCCUCCGCAACCAGUGUCUCGGGUGCUGGCACGUCUUGAGUCGCCUUGCCAGCAGACGCUUUCCUGCUCCUCCUGUGCCUCAGUGGUUCCUCAUCGUCGUCGUCAGGAAGGGUAAUAACGACAUUAGACGGGGCUACAGAAAAGAAUCAAAAUUAGAGACAAAGAGCCAAUCGACUGAAGACAGAAUUAUGAAAGUCAUACCAGGUUUUGAAGUGGCAGCGUCUUCCAUCUCAUGAUCUUCAGCCCUGGCCGAGGUAUCAGAAGUAGCAGCGCUGCAGUACCAGAAGUCAGUCGGUUGAUUCAUGAGUCGACCAAAAAUAAGUUCAUGUGGAACAGAAAAACUCAAGUAGCAUCAUUACCCUGAGAUAGUGGGGAUCACCAUCUUCAUCUUCGGCAAGACCUUCGCCGGCUUCGACGGCGCCACUCUGGAUUGCUUCGGAGCUUUCUCAGUCGGCACCGGAGAAGUGGUUCGAGGGCGCUUGGUCGACUGAGCGACAGUCGCGACCCCCUUACCACGCUCGGUCGCAGGGUCAUGAACGAGCUUCGAGCGUCUUUCUGAUCGAGGUGGUGCAACUUCCUCCUCCUCCUCCUCUUCUUCCUCCUCACCAGUCAUGACCUUCAUCAUCAUCGGCAGCAUCCGAAUCCCACUCCUCUUGGCUUUCGCCCCCACUUCCUUCCUCCUCCUCAGUCGGCGUCUGUGCUCCAUUGGGCAUCGAGUAUAGUUCAGUGGUGGCCUGACGGACAACAAAGCAAAGAUCAAUCGACCAGUUUGCAGCAAAAGCAGAAUGAGUAUAGCAAGAUUACAAUUGAGGAUAAAGUGGGCGUACCGUGUCUGGAGUGUAGGAAUGGUCGAGUGGUGGAAUCCUCCUGGCUCCUCGAGGGUUGUCCUUAUUCCCUGUGAUCGCGGCCAUCCACCUCUCCAGUGUGGCAUCGUCGAUUGCUUCUGGAUGGACCAGAGUUUCAUCCUCGGUUCCACAGUACAGCCACAUCGGGUGGCCUUGGUACUGAAGUGGUUGGAUGCGCCGCCUAAGAAAGACCUCCAGAAGGUCCAUACCCGUCACUCCUUCCCGAACUAGCUGGACUACACGCUCCAUCAACAUUCUUACUUGGGCUUUCUCCUCAGGGAGCACCUUCAGAGAAGAGGGCUUGUUCACUCGGUCCAUAGAAAACGGAGGGAGACCAGUCGACUGCCCCGGCGUCGACUCGUCUUGGCAGUAGAACCAAGUCGACUGCCAUCCUCUGACCGACUCAGGAAGGGUCAUGGCCGGAAAAGUACUCUUGCUCCUCAUCUGAAUCCCAAGACCCCCACACAUCUGAAUAACCUUAGUCCUAUCAUCAUUCGGACUCGCCUUUUUCACUGUCUGUGAGCGACAGGUGAAUAUGUGCUUAAAGAGACCCCAGUGCGGUCGACAACCCAGGAAGUUCUCACACAUGGACACGAAGGCAGCAAGGUAGGCGAUGGAAUUCGGACUGAAAUGGUGGAGUUGCGCCCCAAAGAAAUUCAAGAACCCACGGAAGAAAACACUCGGAGGCAGGGAGAACCCACGGUCGACGUGAGUAGCUAGAAGAACGCACUCACCCUCCUGCGGCUGCGAUUGCCACUCGUUCCCCGGGAGCCUCGCCGCCCCGUGAGGAAUCAAGCCCUCAUUGGCCAUCUCAUUGAGAUCCGUCUCGGUGAUGGUCGAGCGGAUCCAAUCCCCUUGGACCCAGCCUUGCGGAAGGCGGGACCUUGACGAAGAUCCGCCCCGACUGGACGCUCUCCCUUUCGCCUUCCCCGUCGUCGUCGCCUUCUUCGCGCGCUCCAAAGCCGCCGUCUUCUCCUUCACCAUUGUCGCCGACGAAGCGCACGAGGAGUGGAUGGGCGGGGGCGAGAGCAGGCACGGCGGGCGGAGAUGGAGAGGGCAGAAGGGGGAAUAGGGGGAUACUGUUCAAAAACCCUCGCCUGGCGCCUUUUAUAAGGACGCUUCUGAGUGGCUGACGAGUGGGCCCGGACGAUCCUAUCAUAUCCCGAAACAGUCGCACGCACGCGAUAUGUGGCGAAAAAGGCGGCGCGGAAAUCGAGGCGUCUAUGCCCUAUCCCAUCCGAGUGUCGCGGUCUUCCCCGCUUCGCGCGCUUCCCAAAAUUCGGAUCCCACAAAAUCCACUAACAGCAGAUCAAUCUGUCAGACGGAAGAUUUCCUAUGAUCCGUCGCUCGGAAGAUUACUAAGUUCAAAAGUUCACUCGACAUAAGAAAGGAAUGGAUCAAGGCGACUGAAACAAAAGUUGCUGCAUCAACAAAAAGAUUAUUGGUCCAAGAUGAGACAUGUUCAAAACACAAAAACAGGUCGGAAAUAUUAUCAACUCCUUCCUCGCUCAAACCUCGAUCCAUUCGGGGGCUAAUGAUGAAGUCAUGUACCUAGGGUAGGGUCAUAGGCUUGUCUAAAGUACCCUUCCCAAGGACACCCUCAGAAGAAACUGCCUUCCAGUCGACUAAGAGAGACUUCACUCGACGGUCUCGAAGGACUCGACCAUGAAGACUCACUCGACCACCAGGAGAUCAAGAGCCACUCUGCAUCCAAACGGUCUGUAAUUAAGUAGUCUUUACGGCAUUUAGGACACUUUAUGUAAAGCGUUACCAGUAACGCCUAGCCUUAAUGUACUUUAAACCCUGCAUGACUGAGGGCCGGAGGGGUCUGGCAGACACUAUAUAAGCCACCCCCCUCCUCAGUGUAAAGGAUUCGCACCCCUGUAAUCUAUUCACACAUAAUCCAGUCGACCGCCUCCGGGCUCCGAGAUGUAGGGCUGUUACUUCCUCCGAGAAGGGCCUGAACUCGUACAUCCCUUGUCUUCACAACUGCUCCAUAGCUAAGAUCUUGCCUCUCCAUACCUACCCCCCAUUCUACUGUCAGACUUAGAACCACGACACCCGGGGCCAUAGGUUUCACUAGUGGCUUCUCUCAAGAUAGCAAAUAUUACGGUGGGUGAACAAAUUACUGCCGAGCAAUUGAUAGAAGAGUGCAUAAUUAUGAUGAUAUCUAAGGCAAUGAUCAUGAACAUAGGCAUCACGUCCGUGUCAAGUAGACCAAAAUGAUUCUGCAUCUACUACUAUUACUCCACACACCGACCGCUAUCCAGCAUGCAUCUAGAGUAUUAAGUUCAUAAAGAAUGGAGUAACGCAUUAAGUAAGAUGACAUGAUGUAGAGGAAUUAACUCAAGAAAUGUGAUGAAAACCCCAUCUUUUUAUCCUCAAUGGCAACAAUACAAUACGUACCUUGCUGCCCCUACUGUCACUGGGAAAGGACAUCGCAAGAUUGAACCCAAAGCUAAGCACUUCUCCCAUUGCAACAAAAACCAAUCUAGUAGGCCAAACUAAACCGAUAAUUCGAAGAGACUUGCAAAGAUAUCAAAUCAUGCAUAUAAGAAUUCAGAGAAGACUCAAAUAAUAUGCAUAGAUAAUUUGACCAUAAAUCCACAAUUCAUUGGAUCUUGGCAAACACACUGCAAAACAAUAUUACAUCGAAGCUCCAAGAACAUCAAGGAGAACAUGGUAUUGAGAAUCAAAGAGAGAGAAGAAGCCAUCUAGCUACUAGCUAUGGAUGUCGUGGGAACGACUCCGACAGGGGUAGGAUAACGUAGCAUGAUCUAUCGAGAUGCAUAUGGGUGACACGGUGGUUUUAGCGAGUUCGGGCCUCUCACGGUGGAGAUAACAACCCUACGUCUUGUGCUCCGGAGAGGCUUUGUUUUAUCUGAGUAUAUAUCUGGAGAUUACAAUGUGUGUGUGUGAGAGAGGAAUGGAUCCCCAUGCCUGAGCCAAGUCCUGAGACUAAUGGUGAAAAGAGAGAGAGAGAGGUGGAAGAAAAGAACCCCCUUAGUCUAGUGGUGGGGGUGGCUUAUAUAGAGUGCGCCACCCCCUCACCUCCUAUGUUACAAAGUGGAGUAUCAAUGCCAUAAUACCUGGCCACUACAAAACCGUUAUGCUGACUAUUGGUCUUCGCAUAUCCGAGUGAGUUACCCGGCCGAGUGGAAUGAGCUUGUCGAGUGGAGUGCCGUGCUCCGAGUGGUUGUUGCCGUCCGAGUGACUUUCAAGUUGCGGUACAUCUGGACAGCGAUCUGGCCCAGGGGCCCAGUACAAAGUGUACAGUGUCCAUGGGUAGGGUCUUUAGGUCAGGCCUGUUACCCUACCCCUAAUACAUGUCCUCGUCAUUAGCCCCCGAACCGGUCGAGGUUGAGCGGGUCAAGUCGAGGUGAAUUCCCAGAUGAGUCGAGUGCUACGGAGGCACUUAUGAACUUCCUUUGGUCACCCGGCGGUCUUAUCUUCGCUUGUUGCCUUGACGGAUUCCAGUCUGCAUGGUGCCCGAGUGAAAUGAGCUCAAACGGGUCCGUGGAGGAGCGUUGAAUUCACCUUAUAGCAAUUUUUUUGAAUGAUUUGGAGCUGGUCCUGCAUCGAGUAACUGGUUACUCGAAAUUUCUUCAUGCUUGGAACGUGUCUUUUUUUGUUGUUUGGCCGUCACUCGGACCGGGCGGACCGUUCCGAGUGGAUACCAUUCCAGUGGGGGCACGCUGAGUGCACCCACUGGGUGUAGUCCCCGAGACUGCCGUCGACUACGGGCAGUCGGCGGGAGUCUUAGAGCUUGUCUUUUUUGUUUUUGUUUGGCCGUCACUCGGACAGGUCGGACUGUUCCGAGUGGAUACCAACAGUCGGCGGGAGUCUCAGAGCCUGUCUUUUUGUUGUUGUUUAUCACUUGGACUGGUCAAGCCAUACCGAGUGGAGAUUACUCCAGUGGGGGCACGCUGAGUGCACCCACUGGGUGUAGUCCCCGAGACCACCAUCGACUGCGGGCAGUCGGCGGGGGUCUGAGAGAACUAAAAAUCUUCUUAGCUGGUACUGAUCGAAGUUGUUCUUCUCUGACUCGGAGGUCGAGUAAUUAUGGUCAAAAGAAUAUUCCUGAUGUGAUCAAUAGGUUGACCAAAUGGGCGUAACCCCUGAGGGUGACAUGGCCAACUAUCGUGCAUAGCCCCUGAGUGAUGCUCGAAGGAGGUAAGCUUGCUACAGAGUGUGAUAUGAGGUUUGACCAUAUGAGUAACUUAGUCGUUCCCAUGCUGGGGGUGUAGAGGUAAAGACAUGUCCAACUGAUGGUGAUGCGCGAGGCGGCAGAGGGGCGAUGAUGUGUACAACUGAGUGACGAUGCGCGGGGCGGUCGACUGGUGAAGACGCGCGCAACCGAGUGGCGACGCGCAGAGCGGUCGAGUGGUGAAGACAUGCCCAACCGAGUGGCGACGCGUGGGGUGGCCGAAUGGUGAUGACGUGUGAAGUGGUCGAAUGUAGGACUACAUAUCUAGCCAAGUGAAGAUGCGCAGGGCAGCUGAGUGGUGAAGACGUGCACAACCGAGUGGCGGCGCGCGAGGCGGCUAAGGCGAAGUCGUGUGCCACCGGACGGUGAAAAUGGUCCUCGGAGGACUUAGUCGAAUGCUUUCGAAGCUUAUGUAGUGACGAGGUCAGUGUAACGUGGUUGCGGCGCGAGAAGACCGGUGUGCCAACUGAUUCUGAGUAGGAAUGAAGAUGGCGUGCAGAGCAUCUGGGUGAUUACUAAACUUGUUGAAGUGGCGGAUCGGAUGCAUUUGUUGAAGUGAAGGAUCUGCCAGGUGAUGAAGUAGUCGACCACUCAGGAGAGUGUCAUUCCAAAUGAGAUGCAGCCCCCGAGUGCGGCGUAGCCCCCGAGCGUACUAUAGGCUUUGACAACGGACAUAUCGGAACACGAGAAAUAUAGUUUUGAAUGGAUGAUUUGCAAUUCAUCGAGUUAGACUCGGGUAAAGAUGAGGAGAAUCUUCCGAGUGAUGCUCGGAAGAGGCAAACUCGCAAAAGAGUGAAGUGUGAAAUUUGAUUAUAAAAGGGACUUAUCUGUCUCAUGCCUGACGAGGUCUAUAUCAUUGAUACGAUGAAGAGGAUUCCACAGAGAGGUUGGCCGGAUGUGUUUGAAGUCAACAGAGCGACAAGGUAGGUGUUGUGGUGCACUAGGACCGGUACAGUGACCGAGUCCGAGCAGCGAUGAAGUUGGCGCAUAGGGCCAUCAAGUGAUCACGUAACUUGUGUAAAAAAUGGCACAAGCCAACGAAAUAAUUUCUCGAGGAAAUUCGGUGUGUGCUCAAAUGAUUCGUGUGAAUAACACCCAUAGACACCCGCUGGGAGUGCAAGGGGCUUGCUGGUUAACCAGCACGAGUCUGAAAGAGCGAAGGAUCAGUUCGAACUUGUCGAAGUGAUGGAUCCGACUGAACUCAUUGGAAUAUUGGCUCAAAUAAAAUGGAAGUGUAGUGUUUCGACUAAGUUGCAGCCCCGGAGGACCGAUGCAAACUCGAAAUUAAGAAUGACACAUGGUGUUCAUGAAUGAUGUAUGCAAAAAAAUGUAAGCUGGACUCGGGAGUCACAUAACCAGUACUAAGCAAGUAUGUGAAAAUAAGCAGCCGAGCGUAGAGGUACACUCGAUGGUGCGGCCUUCGAGUGAAGGUGAUGUGUGAAUUACGGGAUACUCGGAAAUAACAGAAUGUAAAAUGACUUAGUUGUUUGAAGGCGCGCGAGUGGCCGAGUGGUGAUGAGGUGACCAACUGAGCGGCGAUGCGCGGAGCGGCCGAGUGGUGAUGAGGUGACCAACCGAGUGGCGACGCGCGGAGCGGCCGAGUGGUGAUGAGGUGACCAACCGAGUGUGGCGAUGCGCGGAGCGGCCAAGUGGUGAUGAGGUGACCAACCGAGUGGCGACGCGCGGAGCGGCCGAGUGGUGAUGAGGUGACCAACCGAGUGUGGCGAUGCGCGGAGCGGCCGAGUGGUGAUGAGGUGANNNNNNNNNNNNNNNNNNNNNNNNNNNNNNNNNNNNNNNNNNNNNNNNNNNNNNNNNNNNNNNNNNNNNNNNNNNNNNNNNNNNNNNNNNNNNNNNNNNNNNNNNNNNNNNNNNNNNNNNNNNNNNNNNNNNNNNNNNNNNNNNNNNNNNNNNNNNNNNNNNNNNNNNNNNNNNNNNNNNNNNNNNNNNNNNNNNNNNNNNNNNNNNNNNNNNNNNNNNNNNNNNNNNNNNNNNNNNNNNNNNNNNNNNNNNNNNNNNNNNNNNNNNNNNNNNNNNNNNNNNNNNNNNNNNNNNNNNNNNNNNNNNNNNNNNNNNNNNNNNNNNNNNNNNNNNNNNNNNNNNNNNNNNNNNNNNNNNNNNNNNNNNNNNNNNNNNNNNNNNNNNNNNNNNNNNNNNNNNNNNNNNNNNNNNNNNNNNNNNNNNNNNNNNNNNNNNNNNNNNNNNNNNNNNNNNNNNNNNNNNNNNNNNNNNNNNNNNNNNNNNNNNGACCAACCGAGUGGCGACGUGCGGAGCGGCCGAGUGGUGAUGAGGUGACCAACCGAGUGGCGACGCGCGGAGCGGCCGAGUGGUGAUGAGGUGACCAACCGAGUGGCGACGCGCGGAGCGGCCGAGUGGUGAUGAGGUGACCAACCGAUGCGGGGCAUCCGAGUGACGUAGACGCGUCCCGCAGAGUGGCGACGCGCGAAGCGUCCGGAGGACAUAGACGCGUGCCGCGAAUUGGCNNNNNNNNNNNNNNNNNNNNNNNNNNNNNNNNNNNNNNNNNNNNNNNNNNNNNNNNNNNNNNNNNNNNNNNNNNNNNNNNNNNNNNNNNNNNNNNNNNNNNNNNNNNNNNNNNNNNNNNNNNNNNNNNNNNNNNNNNNNNNNNNNNNNNNNNNNNNNNNNNNNNNNNNNNNNNNNNNNNNNNNNNNNNNNNNNNNNNNNNNNNNNNNNNNNNNNNNNNNNNNNNNNNNNNNNNNNNNNNNNNNNNNNNNNNNNNNNNNNNNNNNNNNNNNNNNNNNNNNNNNNNNNNNNNNNNNNNNNNNNNNNNNNNNNNNNNNNNNNNNNNNNNNNNNNNNNNNNNNNNNNNNNNNNNNNNNNNNNNNNNNNNNNNNNNNNNNNNNNNNNNNNNNNNNNNNNNNNNNNNNNNNNNNNNNNNNNNNNNNNNNNNNNNNNNNNNNNNNNNNNNNNNNNNNNNNNNNNNNNNNNNNNNNNNNNNNNNNNNNNNNNNNNNNNNNNNNNNNNNNNNNNNNNNNNNNNNNNNNNNNNNNNNNNNNNNNNNNNNNNNNNNNNNNNNNNNNNNNNNNNNNNNNNNNNNNNNNNNNNNNNNNNNNNNNNNNNNNNNNNNNNNNNNNNNNNNNNNNNNNNNNNNNNNNNNNNNNNNNNNNNNNNNNNNAACCGUGUGGCGAUACGCGGAGCGGCCGAGUGGUGAUGAGGUGACCAACCGAGUGGCGACGCGCGGAGCGGCCGAGUGGUUGUGAGGUGACCAACCAUGUGGCGACACGCGAAGCGGCCGAGUGGUGAUGAGGUGACCAACCGAUGGUGACGCGCGGGGCGGCCGAGUGGAGUAGAUGCAUCCCGCGGGGUGACGAAGCGCGGGACGUCCGAGUGAAGUAGACGUGUCCCGCAGAGUGGCGAUGCGCGGGGCGUCCGGCUGAAGUAGACGUGUCCCGCGGUGUGAUGACGUGCGAGUCGUCCGAGUGAUGUAGACGUGUCCCGCGGAAUGACAAUGCGCAAGGCGUUAGGGUGAAGUAGACGCGACCCGCAGAGCAACGACACAUAGCUGCCUAAAUGAUAUAGACGUGUCCUGCGGAGUGGCAUCGUGCGGGGCGUCUGAGUUAUCCAACGCUCGUCCGAGUGCAUAGAGCAGGACCUGUACGUCAUGCAUGUCCGAGUGGUGUGUCUCAGCCAGUCCGAGUGAAAAAUACACAUAGAGCAGGACAUGUACGUCAUGCAUGUCCGAGUGGUGUGUCUCAUCCAGACCGAGUGAAAAAUACGCAUGAGACCUGGUGUGGACGCUGGAGGAGAGCUCCGCUGCGGCGGAAACGGCCGGUCUGGUCGGAACCGGACGGUAGCUGAGAUGUGGCGAUGAGGAGGAUGAGCAGCUCCGCGGUCCAGUCACGGGCCGGCGCAUCCAAGGACGAGGCCGGCGCGAGCGCCGGUGGUUGCGUUUCGCCGCCCGGGGAACCGGAGUUGGCACAUGUCGGAGUCGUGCUUCGACGCGUGUGGAGCUGGGUCGAGUGCCGUCGGCUAGGCCUUGUCGCCCGAGGAGCCGGGUUGACCGGACCAUCGUUCGACAUGUUCAACCGGCCGGGGAACUAGGCCGAGCGUUUAGUGGCUGCGCGUGUGUGGGUGCUCGCCGAUGGCAUCAUCGAUGAGUACGCGAGAUGAUGACGGGCGGACGACGGCGCUUCAUCGUCAGGGAGCUGAGUCACCAAUCGGAUCAAAGGGAGGCGUCCUUUGUAUGAGCUCGUGUGCAUACAGGAAAAGAACAAACCAUAGUUAAAUCAUUGCAGUGUUUGAUUGUAAAGAGGGCGAAGAGAUGAGCAACUCCCUGAUCCUUUUAUUUGUACGAAUGACGCGAUAACCAGAGCUCUAGUGGCCAAUUUCUCUGGUGCUGGUAGUUGAUCCGCUGUUGAAGAUUGAAGAAAAAACCAUAUGCACCAUGGUUCGAUAGACGCCAUGCCCCAAGGUGGGCGCCAACUGUCGUGGGAAUGACUCCGACAGUAAAAGAGGGGUAGGAUAACGUAGCAUGAUCUAUCGAGAUGCAUAUGGGUGACACGGUGGUUUUAGCGAGUUCGGGCCUCUCACGGUAGAGAUAACAACCCUACGUCUCGUGCUUCGGAGAGGCUUUGUUUUAUCUGAGUAUAUAUCCGGAGAUUACAAUGUGUGUGUGAGAGAGAGAGGAAUGGAUCCCCAUGCCUGAGCUAAGUCCUGAGACUAAUGGUGAAAAGAGAGAGAGAGGUGGAAGAAAAGAACCCCCUUAGUCUAGUGGUGGGGGGUGGCUUAUAUAGAGUGUGCCACCCCCUCACCUCCUAUGUUACAAAGUGGACUAUCAAUGCCAUAAUACCUGGCCACUACAAAACCGUUAUGCUGACUAUUGGUCUUCGCAUAUCCGAGUAAGUUACUCGGCCGAGUGGAAUGAGCUUGUCGAGUGGAGUGCCGUGCUCCGAGUGGUUGUUGUGGUCCGAGUGACUUAAAAGUUGCGGUACAUCUGGACGGCAAUCUGGCCCAGGGGACCAGUACAAAGUGUACGGUGUCCAUGGGUAGGGUCUUUAGGUCAGGCCUGUUACCCUACCCCUAAUACAUGUCCUCGUCAAUGGACCCGUAGGUCUGUGGUAAACUACUCACGCUUCAUCGGAAGGGUAAUGGUGUUGAUGUAGAAGCCCUCCAUGAUCGAAUCCCCCUCCGGCAGGACACCGGGAAAGGCCCCUAGAUGGGAUCUCAUGGGUACAUAAGGUUGCGGCGAUGGAAAAGUGGGUUUGUGGCUUUCCUGGAUGUUUUCAGGGUAUAAGAGUAUAUAUAGGCGAAGGAACUAGGUUAGGAGACCCACGAGGGGCCCACGAGGUAGGGGGCAUGCACUACCCCCCUGGGCGCGCCCUCCACCCUCGUGGCCACCUUGUUGCAUUUCCGACUUCAUCUCCAAGUCUCCUGGUUUGCUUCCGGUCCAAGAAAGAUCAUCACGAAAGUUUCAUUCCGUUUGGACUCCGUUUGGUACUCCUUUUCUGCGAAACUCUAAAUAGGCAAACAAAAUAGAAACCGGCACUAGGCUCUAGGUUAAUAGGUUAGUCCCAAAAAUAAUAUAAAAUAGCAUAUAAAUGCCUAUUAAACAUCCAAAACAGAUAAUAUAAUAGCACGGAACAAUCAAAAAUUAUAGAUACGUUGGAGACGUACCAAGCUACUUUCCAAAUUGAGAGAAGGUACAAUACCUCAUCAAGUUCUACUUUCCUCCCACUCACUUCUUUCGAGAGAAAACCCUUCUCUAGAAAGGUUCCAUUCUUGGCAACAAAGAUCUUGCCUUUGGAUCUGUGGUAGAAGGUGUACGUAAUUGUUUCCUUAGGGUAUCCUAUAAAGAUGCACUUCUCCGAUUUGGGUUCGAGCUUAUCAGGCUGAAGCCUUUUGACAUAAGUGGCGCAACCCCAAACUUUAAGAAACGACAACUUAGGUUUAUUUCCAGACCACAGUUCAUAUGGUGUCGUCUCAACGGAUUUAGACGGUGCCCUAUUUAACGUGAAUGCAGCUGUCUCUAAUGCAUAACCCCAAAACGAUAGUGGUAAAUCGGUAAGAGACAUAAUAGAUCGCACCAUAUCUAAUAAAGUACGGUUAUGAUGUUCGGACACACCAUUACGGUGUGGUGUUCUAGGUGGCGUGAGUUUUGAAACUAUUCCACAUUGUUUUAAAUGAAGGCCAAACUCAUAACUCAAAUAUUCACCUCCGCGAUCAAAUCGUAGAAACUUUAUUUUCUUGUUACGAUGAUUCUUCACUUCACUCUCAAAUUCUUUGAACUUUCCAAAUAUUUCAGACUUGUGUUUCAUUAAGUAGAUAUACCCAUAUCUCCUCAAAUCAUUUGUGAAGGUAAGAAAAUAACGAUACCCACCGCGAGCCUCAACACUCAUUGGACCGCAUACAUCGGUAUGUAUUAUUUCCAAUAAGUCAUUGGCUCGCUCCAUUGUUCUGGAGAACGGAGUUUUAGUCAUCUUAGCCAUGAGGCAUGGUUCGCAAGUAUCAAAUGAUUCAUAAUCAAGUGAUUCCAAAAGCCCAUCAGCAUGGAGUUUCUUCAUGCGCUUUACACCAAUAUGACCUAAAUGGCAGUGCCACAAGUAUGUUGCACUAUCAUUAUCAACUUUGCAUCUUUUGGCAUCAAUAUUAUGAAUAUGUGUAUCACUAUGGUCGAGAUUCAAUAAACCAUUAACAUUGGGGUGUAUGACCAUAGAAGGUUUUAUUCAGGUAAACAGAAUAACAAUUAUUCUCUGUCUUAAAUGAAUAACCGUAUUGCAAUAAACACGAUCCUAUCUUGUUCAUGCUCAACGCAAACACCAAAUAACAUUUAUUUAGAUUCAACACUAAUCCCAAAAUUAUAGGGAGUGUGCAAUGGUGAUCAUAUAAAUCUUGGAACCACUUCUAACACACAUCAUCAUUUCACCCUCAACUAGUCUCCAUUUAUUCUACAACUCCUGUUUCAAGUUACUAAUCUUAGCAACCGAACAGGUAUCAAAUACCCAGGGGCUACUACGAGAACUAGUAAGGUACACAUUAAUAACAUGUGUAUCAAAUAUAUCUUUAUUCACUUUGCCAUCCUUCUUAUCCGCCAAAUAUUUGGGGUAGCUCCGCUUCCAGUGACCAUUUCCUUUGCAGUAGAAGCACUCACUUUCAGGCUUAGGUCCAGCUUUGGGCUUCUUCACGGGAGUGACUACUUGCUUGUCAUUCUUCUUGAAGUUCCCUUUCUUUCCCUUGCCUUUUUUCUUCAAACUAGUGGUCUUGUUAACCAUCAACACUUGAUGCUCUUUCUUGAUUUCUACCUUCACCGAUUUCAGCAUCGCGAAAAGCUCGGGAAUCGUUCUCGUCAUCCCUUGCAUAUUAUAGUUUGUCACGAAGUUCUAGUAGCUUGGUGAUAGUGACUAGAGAACUUUGUCAAUCACAAUCUUAUCUGAAAGAUUAACUCCCACUUGAAUCAAACGAUUAUAGUGCCCAGACAUUCUGAGCACUUGCUCACUAGCUGAGCUAUUCUCCUCCAUCUUGUAGGAAAAGUACUUGCCAGAGGUCUCAUACCUCUCUACAUGGGCAUGAGUCUGAAAUACCAAUUUCAGCUCUUGGAACAUCUCAUAUGCUCCAAGGCAUUCAAAACGUCUUUGAAUCCCCUAUUCUAAUCCAUAAAGCAUGGCACACUAAACUAUCUAGUAGUCAUCAUAUCGAGCUUGUCGAAUGUUCAUAAUGUCUGUAUCUGCUCCUGCAAUAGGUCUGUCACCUAGCGGUGCAUCAAGGACAUAAUUCUUCUGUGCAACAAUGAGGAUAAUCCUCGGAUCAUGGACCCAGACUGCAUCAUUGCUACUAUCAUCUUUCAACUUAGUUUUCUCUAGGAAUAUAUCAAAAAAAUAGGGGAGCUACAACGUGAGCUAUUGAUCUACAACAUAAUUUGCAAAUACUAUCAGGGCUAAGUUCAUGAUAAAUUAAGUUCAAUUAAUCAUAUUACUUAACAACUCCCACUUAGAUUGACCUCCCUCAAGUCAUCUAAAUGAUACGUGAUCCAAAUCAACUAAACCAUGUCCGAUCAUCACGCGAGAUGGAGUAGUCAUCAAUGGUGAACAUCUCUAUGUUGAUCAUAUCUACUAUAUAAUUCACGUUCGACCUUUCGGUCUCCGGUGUUCCGAGGCCAUGUCUGUACAUACUAGGCUCGUCAAGUUUAACCAGAGUAUUCCGCAUGUGCAAAAAUGUCUUGCACCCGUUGUAUGUGAACGUAGAGCCUAUCACACCCGAUCAUCACGUGGUGUCUCAGCACGAAGAACUGUCGCAACGGUGCAUACUCAGGGAGAACUAUUAUACCUUGAAAUUUUAGUUAAGGGAUCAUCUUAUAAUGCUACCGUCGUACUAAGCAAAAUAAGAUGCAUAAGAUAUAAACAUCACAUGCAAUCAAAAUAUGUGACAUGAUAUGGCCAUCACCAUCUCGUUCUUUUGAUCUCCAUCUCCAAAGCAUUGUCAUGAUCUCCAUCAUCACCGGCUCGACACCUUGAUCUCCAUCGUUGCAUCGUUGUUGUCUCGCCAACUAUUGCUUCUACAACUAUCGCUACCGCUUAGUGAUAAAGUAAAGCAAUUACAUGGUGUUUGCAUUUCAUACAAUAAAGAGACAACCAUAAGGCUCCUGUCGAUUGCCGAUAACUUUUAAAAAACAUGAUCAUCUCAUAUAAUAACAUAUAUCACAUCAUGUCUUGACCCUAUCACAUCACAAGCAUGCCCUGCAAAAGCAAGUUAGACGUCCUCUACUUUGUUGUUGCAAGUUUUGCGUGGCUGCUACGGGCUUCUAGCAAGAACCGUUCUUACCUACGGCACAAAACCACAAUGAUGAUUUAUCAAGUUUGUUGUUUCAACCUUCAACAAGAACUGGUCGUAGUCAAAUUUGAUUCAACUAAAGUUGGAGAAACAGACACCCACCAGCCACCUUUAUGCAAAACUAGCUGCAUGUCUGCCGGUGGAACCGGUCUCAUGAACGUGGUCAUGUAAGGUUAGUUCGGGCCGCUUCAUCCAACAAUACCGCUGAAUCAAAAUAAGACAUUGGUGGUAAGCAGUAUGAUGAUCGCCACCCACAACUCUUUGUGUUCUACUCGUGCAUAUCAUCUACGCAUAGACCUGGCUCGGAUACCACUGUUGGGGAACGUAGCAUGCAGUUUUAAAAAAAAUUCUACGCUCACGCAAGAUCUAUCUAGGAGAUGCAUAGCAACGAGAGGGGUAGAGUGUGUCUACGUACCCUUAUAGACCGAAAGCGGAAGCGUUUAUCACGCGGUUGAUGUAGUCGUACUCUUCGUGAUCCGAUCACGAUCCAACCAAUCUAGUGCCGAACAAACGGCACCUCCAAGUUUAGCACACAUGCGGCUCGAUGACGUCUCCUCCUUCUUGAUCCAACAAGAAGGAGAGGAGAAGUAAAAGGGAUCACAACCGACACGAAAGCUUGGUGGUGAUGGUGGUGGUGGAGCACCGACAGCGCUUCGUUAAGCGUCGCCGAGACGAGGCGGUGGAACUACGGAGUGACAGGAGAGAGAGGGGCACCAAGGGUUUGGUGUGUCCUCUUGGGGUGCCUCCUCCUAUCUAUAUAUAGGUGGAGGGGCAUGGCAAACAGCCCCUCCAAGCCCUAGGGCGCAGCUAAGGGGGAGAGGACUUGGACUCCAAGUCUAAUCCUAUUCCUACUAGGACUCCUUCCCUUUUUGCCUUCCCUAGCCACAUGGGCUUUUGAGGACUUGGUGCGCCUAGCCCAGUCAAGCCAGGGCACCUUCCUGCAGCCCAUGCUAGCCCUUGGGUCGUGGUGAACCCACUUGCGGACUUCCGGACCCCUCCAGAAUCCUCCGAAACCUUCUGGAAGCUUCCCGGUACAAUACCAAAAAAACUGCACCUUUUUACGGAACCCAAAAUAUGACUUCCUAUAUAUAAAUCUUUACCUCUCGACCAUUCCGAGAUCCUUGUGACGUCUGGGAUCUCAUCCGGGACUCCGAACAACAUUUGGUUACCACUCAUCAAAUAUCCCAAUACUACUCUAGCGUCAACAAACGUUAAGCGUGCGACCCUACAGGUUCGAGAACUAUGUAGACAUGACCGAGACACUUCUCCGGUCAAUAACUAAUAGCGGAACCUGGAUGCUCCCACAUAUUCUACGAAGAUCUUUAUCGGUCGAAUUGUUAUGACAACAUACGUUAUUCCCUUUGUCCAUCGGUAAUGUUUCUUGCCCGAGAUUCGAUCGUUGGUAUCUUGAUACCUAGUUAAAUCUUGUUACCGGCAAGUCUCUUUACUCGUUCCAUAAUGCAUCAUCCUGCAAAUAACUCAUUAGUCACUUUGCUUGCAAGGCUUCUUAUGAUGUACAUUACCAAGAGGGCCCGGAGAUACCUCUCCGAUACUCGGAGUGACAAAUCCUAAUCUCGAUCUAUGCCAACCCAACAAAUACCUUCGGAGAUACCUGUAGAGCAUCUUUAUAAUCACCCAGUUAUGUUGUGACAUUUGAUAGCACAAAAGGCAUUCCUUCGGUAUCUGGGAGUUGCAUAAUCUCAUAGUCGAAGGAAUAUGUAUUUGACAUGAAGAAAGCAAUAGCAAUAAAACUUAACGAUCAAUACGCUAUGCUAACAGAUGGGUCUUGUCUAUCACAUCAUUCUCCUAAUGAUGUGAUCCCCUUCAUCAAAUGACAACACAUGUCUAUGGUUAGGAAACUUAACCAUUUUGAUUAACGAGCUAGUCUAGUAGAGGCUUACUAGAGACACGGUGUUAUGUCUAUGUAUCCACACAUGUAUCAAGUUUCUGAUUAAUACAAUUCUAGCAUGAAUAAUAAACAUUUAUGAUGAAAUAAGGAAAUAUAAAAUAACAACUUUAUUAUUGCCUCUAGGGCAUAUUUCCUUCAAAUCCAACAAACAAAUAAUCACACGCCGACAACAAAAUAUAACGGAGGGCAUCUGGAGCAUCGGCCUCGGGUUGUUACAUAGUGCUCAGUACCUAUUUUUGCAUUUCUUUGUUUUGCAAAAUGGGACGUCGUGUUUACACUGGGCUUUGCAUGUGUUUCUUGGAGCGACGUCAAGUUCGUCAGAUGCGUGACGGGGGAGGAAAAUAUGAGCGUACUGGAAACAUGAAGUGCCUGACAAUGCACACCUGUUUGAUGUUGUCAAUGGUCUGGGCGAGCAUUUUUGAAUGAGAUGUUUUGUUAGGUAUUGCCUAUUUUGUAAGAUCUUAAUUCUUUUAGUUUACACAACCUAAGCUAAUUACAUAGUUUGUGGCUUUAUUGAAUGAGAUGUAAAGUUGUUGUUAUGUUAGAUUUUCUAUAUGUGUUCUUAAUCAUUCCAAUUUAUGCACUACAUGGGUUGUUCAUAGAUGUUGGUGUAUCUGUGCUCACUAUGGGGUUCAUGCUCGUUUCCUUGUUUGGAACACACGGCCUUUGGUUCGGGUGUUUAGAAGUGUGGCAGACGCUUUGGUGGUUUGCUGCAUUGGUUUUGGUCGAUGAACACAAGGAGAGGGCACGUUGUUGGGUAGCCGGUUGGUGUAGACGCGGUGCGAAGAGCCAUGUUGAUGGUCAUGUCCUAUCACACGGUAGGCAUCACGUCCACUCGCUACGUAUGGUUCUGACCCGUGGUUGUACCGUAUGGUUGCUUCACUUGUGGUUUUUGCUUGAAGUUGGAGAGUUGUUUUGUAUUCACUGCUCAACUGAUUUACAAGGUACAUAUCAUAUCCCCGCAGGGAGAGAGCCAACGCACCUGAAAACAAGGCACGCAGGCCAUGAGCGUUGCUAGAUCCUACAAAGUAGGAGUGGACUCAGUUUACAUAACUCAACGUUACAAUUACACAGUACACAUUUAACACCCCCCCCCCCUCAGUUGGAACUCCAUUGGGAAGGACGUUCAGGCUGGCACAGAACUCAUGAAACACCUGAGAAGGUAGCCCUUUGGUGAACAAGUCAGCAAACUAUGAACUCGAGGGAACAUGGAGCACACGGGCCUCGCCAAGAGCCACAUGAUCCCGGACGAAAUGGAGAUCAAUCUCAAUGUGCUUUGUCCGUUGAUGUUGACCUGGGUUGGAGGCAAGAUAUGUUACGCUGACAUUAUCACAAUAAACCAUGAUGGCAUGAGUUGGUGGACACUUGAGAUCAUGCAAUAGUUGAUGGAGCCAGCAAGAGUCGGCAACACAGUUGGCGACGCCCCGGUACUCAGCUUCUGCAAUGGAUCGUGAGACAGUAGGUUGACGCUUCGAGGACCAAGAUAUGAUGUUGUUGCCAAGGAAUACACAGAAUCCGGAAGUGGACUUGCGAGUGUCCGGGCACCCGGCCCAAUCAGCGUCGGUGUAGGCAAUGAGGUCAUGAGAUGAUGACUUGUAGAGCUGAAUACCGUAGUGGGAUGUGCCUUGUAAGUACCAAAGGAUUCGUUUGACCAAUUGCAUAUGAGUGUCAUGCGGCUCAUGCAUGAAGAGGCAAACCUGUUGGACAGCACAGGAGAUAUCCGGGCGAGUGAGAGUGAGAUACUGAAGCGCGCCGACCAAGCUCCGGUAGUAUGUGGAGUUGGAUAGUGGUUUACCAUCGUGGAGGGAUAGUUUGGAAGAGGUGUCCACGGGGGUGGACACGGGUUUGCAAUGAAGCAUGUUGGCUCGGUCAAGAAUCUCAUGUGUAUACUAUUGCUGGCAAAGAAACAAGCUGGAGGAGUUGGGAGUAACAUCGAUGCCAAGAAAGUGAUGUAACUCACCAAGGUCUGACAUGGAGAACUCCUUCUUGAGAGAGGCAAUGAUGGAGUGAAGGGUGGCAGGUGUGUUGGCUGUGAGGAUGAUAUCAUCCACAUAGACAAGAAGGUAUGCAAUGGAGUGUACAUGGUGCCAAAUGAACAAUGACGAGUCGCUCUUGGAAGCACAAAACCCAAUAGACAGCAAGAAAGUCUUGAACCAAAGAAACCAUGUACGAGGGGCCUGCUUCAAACCAUAUAGUGACUUGUUGAGGAGACACACAUGAUCCGGAUGUGAAGAAUCGACAAAACCACGGAGAAAGGCAUUUUUGACAUCCAGCUGUUGAAUUGGCCACGAGUGAGAGGUGGCAAGACUGGGCACCACACGAAUGGUGGCCAGUUUGACGACCGGACUGAAUGUCUUGUCGUAGUCCAUGCCCUCUUGCUGAGUGAAUCCCCGGACAGCCCACUGAGCUUUGUACCGAGCCAAAGAUCCAUCCGUGUUAAACUUGUGGCAAAAAAUCCACUUCCCCGUAACAAUGUUGACACCUGCAGGCUUAGGCACCAAAGACCAAGUAAAGUUAUUGAUUAAAGCAUGAUACUCAUCUUGCAUAGCUUGGCGCCAAUUUGGAUCCUUUAGGGCAGAUUUGUACGUGGGAGGUAUAGGAGAGAGGGGUGUGGAAGAGGUGUCAGCAAGAAAAAGGCAGUGAGGCAUGCAAUAGCCACGUUUGGCCCGAGUAGUCAAGGUGUGAGAAUUACGUGGUGGCUCAGCUGGUUGUGCAUGGCGAGGAAGAUGUGGCAGAGGGGGAGUGGGCGUGCAUGCCUCAUAUCCCGAGGACGAUACGGUGGAGCAGGCGUCAGGCACGGAAGAAUCUAUAGCAGGUGGGGCAGAGCCAACAGGCGCGGAGGGCAAGGUAGAUGCGGGUGUGAUGGUUGGUGGAGAUGGGGGCGCAGUGUUGGGGAACGUUGCAGAAAAUUAAAAAAUUUCCUACGGUUUCACCAAGAUCCAUCUAUGAGUUCAUCUAAGCAACGAGUCAACGGAGUGAGUUUGCAUCUACAUACCACUUGUAGAUCGCGUGCGGAAGCGUUCAAGGGGAUGGUGAUGAUGGAGUCGCACUCGCCGUGAUUCAGAUCACCGAUGACCAAGUGCUGAACGGACAGCACCUCCGCGUUCAACACACGUACGGGACGGACGACGUCUCCUCCGUCUUGAUCCAGCAAGGAGGAAGGAGAGGUUGAUGAUGAUCCAGCAGCACAACGGCGUGGUGGUGGAUGCAGCAGAACUCCGGCAGGGCUUCGCCAAGCUGCUGCGGGAGGAGGACGAGGUGUAGCAGGGGGAGGGAGGCGCCAAUGCACAGGGUUGUGGCUACCCUCCCCCUUGCCCUCCUUUAUAUAGGCCCCUAGGGGGGCGCCGGCCCUGGGAGAUUCAAUCUCCCAAGGGGGCGGCGACCAGGGGGGUGGAGUGCCCCCCAAGGCAUGUGGUGCGCCCCCCCCCCCCCCNNNNNNNNNNNNNNNNNNNNNNNNNNNNNNNNNNNNNNNNNNNNNNNNNNNNNNNNNNNNNNNNNNNNNNNNNNNNNNNNNNNNNNNNNNNNNNNNNNNNNNNNNNNNNNNNNNNNNNNNNNNNNNNNNNNNNNNNNNNNNNNNNNNNNNNNNNNNNNNNNNNNNNNNNNNNNNNNNNNNNNNNNNNNNNNNNNNNNNNNNNNNNNNNNNNNNNNNNNNNNNNNNNNNNNNNNNNNNNNNNNNNNNNNNNNNNNNNNNNNNNNNNNNNNNNNNNNNNNNNNNNNNNNNNNNNNNNNNNNNNNNNNNNNNNNNNNNNNNNNNNNNNNNNNNNNNNNNNNNNNNNNNNNNACCCUAGGCGCAGGGGGUGGGCCUAGGGGGGCGCUCCAGCCCACUAUGGGCUGGCUCCCCUCCCACUUCAGCCCAUGGGGCCCUCCGGGAUGGGUGGCCCCACCCGGUGGACCCCCGGGACCCUUCCGGUGGUCCCGGUACAUUACCGGGUGACCCUGAAACUUUCCCGAUGGCCGAAAUACCACUUCCUAUAUAUAAUUCUUUACCUCCGGACCAUUCCAAAACUCCUCGUGACGUCCGGGAUCUCAUCUGGGACUCCGAACAACAUUCGGUAUGCUGCAUACUCAUAUUCAUACAACCCUAGCGUCACCGAACCUUAAGUGUGUAGACCCUACGGGUUCGGGAGACACGUAGACAUGACCGAGACGACUCUCGGGCAAUAACCAACAGCGGGAUCUGGAUACCCAUGUUGGCUCCCACAUGCUCCUCGAUGAUUUCAUCGGAUGAACCACGAUGUCGAGGAUUAAACAACCCCGUAUACAAUUCCCUUUGUCAAUCAGUACGUUACUUGCCCGAGACUCGAUCGUCGGUAUCCCAAUACCUUGUUCAGUCUCGUUACCGGCAAGUCACUUUACUCGUACCGUAAUGCAUGAUCCCGUGACCAACCACUUGGUCACUUUGAGCUCAUUAUGAUGAUCCAUUACCGAGUGGGCCCAGAGAUACCUCUCCGUCAUACGGAGUGACAAAUCCCAGUCUCGAUCCGUGUCAACCCAACAGACACUUUCGGAGAUACCUGUAGUGCACCUUUAUGGUCACCCAGUUACGUUGUGACGUUAGAUACACCCAAAGCACUCCUACGGUAUCCGGGAGUUACACGAUCUCAUGGUCUAAGGAAGAGAUACUUGACAUUGGAAAAGCUCUAGCAAACGAACUACACGAUCUUGUGCUAUGCUUAGGAUUGGGUCUUGUCCAUCACAUCAUUCUCCUAAUGAUUUGAUCCCGUUAUCAACAACAUCCAAUGUCCAUCGCCAGGAAACCAUGACUAUCUGUUGAUCAACGAGCUAGUCAACUAGAGGCUCACUAGGGACAUAUUGUGGUCUAUGUAUUCACACGUGUAUUACGAUUUUCGGAUAAUACAAUUAUAGCAUGAAUAAAAGACAAUUAUCAUGAACAAGGAAAUAUAAUAAUACUUUUAUUAUUGCCUCUAGGGCAUAUUUCCAACAGUCUCCCACUUGCACUAGAGUCAAUAAUCUAGUUACAUUGUGAUGAAUCGAACACCCAUAGAGUUCUGGUGUUGAUCAUGUUUUGCUCGCGAGAGAGGUUUAGUCAAUGGAUCUGCGACAUUCAGAUCCGUGUGUACUUUGCAAAUUUCUAUGUCUCCAUCUCGAACAUUUUCACGGAUGGAUUUGAAGCAACGCUUGAUGUGCCUUGUCUUCUUGUGAAACCUGGGCUCCUUGGCAAGGGCAAUAGCUCCAGUGUUGUCACAGAAGAGUUUGAUCGGCCCUGACGCAUUGGGUAUGACUCCUAGGUCGGUGAUGAACUCCUUCACCCAAAUUGCUUCAUGCGCUGCCUCUGAGGCUGCCAUGUACUCCGUUUCACAUGUAGAUCCCGCCACGACGCUCUGCUUGCAGCUGCACCAGCUUACUGCUCCACUAUUCAACAUAUACACGUAUCCGGUUUGUGACUUAGAGUCAUCCAGAUCUGUGUCGAAGCUAGUGUCGACAUAACCCUUUACGAUGAGCUCUUCGUCACCUCCAUAAACGAGAAACAUGUCCUUCGUCCUUUUCAGGUACUUCAGGAUAUUCUUGACCGCUGUCCAGUGUUCCUUGCCGGGAUUACUUUGGUACCUUCCUACCAAACUUACGGCAAGGUUUACAUCAGGUCUGGCACACAGCAUGGCAUACAUAAUAGAUCCUACAGCUGAAGCAUAGGGGAUGACACUCAUCUCUUCUUUAUCUUUUGCCGUGGUCGGUGACUGAGCCGAGCUCAAUCUUACACCUUGCAACACAGGCAAGAACCCCUUCUUGGACUGAUCCAUUUUGAACUUCUUCAAAAUCUUAUCAAGGUAUGUGCUUUGUGAAAGACCUAUGAGGCGUCUCGAUCUAUCUCUAUAGAUUUUGAUGCCUAAUAUAUAAGAAGCUUCUCCAAGGUCCUUCAUUGAAAAACACUUAUUCAAGUAGGCCUUAAUGCUGUCCAGAAGUUCUAUAUCAUUUCCCAUCAAGAGUAUGUCAUCCACAUAUAAUAUGAGAAAUGCUACAGAGCUCCCACUCACUUUCUUGUAAACGCAGGCUUCUCCAUAAGUCUACAUAAACCCAAACGCUUUGAUCAUCUCAUCAAAGCGAAUGUUCCAACUCUGAGAUGCUUGCACCAGCCCAUAAAUGGAUCGCUGGAGCUUGCAUACUUUGUUAGCGUUAUUAGGAUCAACAAAACCUUCCGGCUGCAUCAUAUACAGCUCUUCCUUAAGAUGUCCGUUAAGGAAUGCCAUUUUGACGUCCAUCUGCCAUAUCUCAUAAUCAUAGUAUGCGGCAAUUGCUAACAUGAUUCGGACGGACUUCAGCUUCGCUACGGGAGAGAAUGUCUCGUCGUAGUCAAUCCCUUGAACUUGUCGAUAACCCUUAGCGACAAGUCGAGCUUUAUAGAUGGUAACAUUACCAUCCGCGUCCGCCUUCUUCUUAAAAAUCCAUUUGUUCUCUAUCGCUCGCCGAUCAUCGGGCAAGUCUGUCAAAGUCCAUACUUUGUUUUCAUACAUGGAUUCUAUCUCGGAUUUCAUGGCUUCAAGCCAUUUGUUGGAAUCUGGGCCCGCCAUCGCUUCUUCAUAGUUCGAAGGUUCACCGUUGUCUAACAACAUGAUUUCCAGGACAGGGUUGCCGUACCACUCUGGUGCGGAACGUGCCCUUGUGGACCUACGAAGUUCAGUAGCAACUUGAUCCGAAGUACCUUGAUCAUCAUCAUUAUUUUCCUCUUCAGUUGGUGUAUGCAUCACAGGAACAUUUUCCUGAGCUGCACCACUUUCCCGUUCGAGAGGUAGUACUUCAUCGAGUUCUACUUCUCCCACUUACUUCUUUCGAGAGAAACUCUUUUUCCAGAAAGCAUCCGUUCUUGGCAACAAAGAUCUUGCCCUCGGAUCUUAAGUAGAAGGUAUACCCAACGGUUUCCUUAGGGUAUCCUAUGAAGACGCAUUUUUCCGACUUGGGUUCGAGCUUUUCAGGUUGAAGUUUCUUGACAUAAGCAUCGCAUCCCCAAACUUUUAGAAACGACAGCUUAGGUUUCUUCCCAAACCAUAAUUCAUACGGUGUCGUCUCAACGGAUUUAGACAGUGCCCUAUUUAAAGUGAAUGUAGCUGUCUCUAGAGCAUAUCCUAAAAAUGAUAGCGGUAAAUCGGUAAGAGACAUCAUAGACCGCACCAUAUCCAAUAGAGUGCGAUUACGACGUUCGGACACACCGUUACGCUGAGGUGUUCCAGGCGGCGUGAGUUGUGAAACGAUUCCACACCUUAAGUGUGUACCAAAUUCGUGACUUAAGUAUUCUCCUCCACGAUCUGAUCGUAGGAACUUUAUCUUUCGGUCACGUUGAUUCUCUACCUCAUUCUGAAAUUCCUUGAACUUUUCAAAGGUCUCAGACUUGUGUUUCAUUAAGUAGACAUACCCAUAUCUACUCAAGUCAUCAGUGAGAGUGAGAACAUAACAAUAUCCUCCGCGAGCCUCAACGCUCAUUGGACCGCACACAUCGGUAUGUAUGAUUUCCAACAAGUUGGUUGCUCGCUCCAUUGUUCCGGAGAAUGGAGUCUUGGUCAUUUUGCCCAUGAGGCAUGGUUCACAUGUGUCAAAUGAUUCAUAAUCGAGAGACUCUAAAAGUCCAUCAGCAUGGAGCUUCUUCAUGCGCUUAACACCAAUGUGACCAAGGCGGCAGUGCCACAAGUAUGUGGGACUAUCGUUAUCAACUUUACAUCUUUUGGCAUUCACACUAUGAAUAUGUGUAAUAUUACGCUCGAGAUUCAUUAAGAAUAAACCAUUGACCAUCGGAGCAUGACCAUAAAACAUAUCUCUCAUAUAAAUAGAACAACCAUUAUUCUUGGAUUUAAAUGAGUAGCCAUCUCGUAUUAAACGAGAUCCUGAUACAAUGUUCAUGCUCAAACUUGGCACUAAAUAACAAUUAUUAAGGUUCAAAACUAAUCCCAUAGGUAAAUGUAGAGGCAGCGUGCCGACGGCGAUCACAUCGACUCUGGAACCAUUCCCGACGUGCAUCGUCACCUCGUCCUUCGCCAGUCUCCGUUUAUUCCACAGCUCCUGCUGUGAGUUACAAAUAUGAGCAACGGCACCGGUAUCAAAUACCCAGGAGUUACUACGAGUACUGGUAAGGUACACAUCAAUUACAUGUAUAUCAAAUAUACCUUUGGUGUUGCCGGCCUUCUUAUCCGCUAAGUAUUUGGGGCAGUUCCGCUUCCAGUGACCCUUCCCCUUGCAAUAAAAGCACUCAGUCUCAGGCUUGGGUCCAUUCUUUGACUUCUUCCCGGUAACUGGCUUACCGGGCGCGGCAACAUCCUUGCCGUCCUUCUUGAAGUUCUUCUUGCCCUUGCCCUUCUUGAACUUAGUGGUCUUAUUGACCAUCAACACUUGAUGUUCUUUCUUGAUCUCAACCUCUGUUGUCUUUAGCAUUGAAAAUACUUCAGGAAUGGUCUUCACCAUCCCCUGCAUAUUGUAGUUCAUCACAAAGCUCUUGUAGCUUGGUGGGAGCGACUGAAGGAUUCUGUCAAUGACCGCCUCAUCAGGGAGGUUAAUGUUCAGCUAAGUCAGGCGGUUGUGCAACCCAGACAUUUUGAGUAUGUGCUCACUGACAGAACUGUUUUCCUCCAUCUUACAAUUAUAGAACUUGUCGGAGACAUCAUAUCUCUCGACCCGGGCAUGAGCUUGGAAAACUAGUUUCAGCUCUUUGAACAUCUCAUAUGCUCUGUGAUGCUCAAAACGCUUUUGGAGCCCCGGUUCUAAGCUGUAAAGCAUGCCGCACUGAACGAGGGAGUAAUCAUCGGCACGAGACUGCCAAGCAUUCAUAACGUCUUGGUUCUCUGGGACGGGAGCGUCACCUAGCGGUCCUUCUAGGACAUAUUGUUUCCUCGCAGCUAUGAGGAUGAUCCUCAGGUUCCGGACCCAGUAUGUAUAGUUGCUGCCAUCAUCUUUCAACUUGGUUUUCUCUAGGAACGCGUUGAAGAUCAUGUUGACAUGAGCGUUGGCCAUUUGAUCUACAAGACAUAUUUGCAAAGGUUUUAGACUAAGUUCAUGAUAAUUAAGUUCAUCUAAUCAAAUUAUUACAAUGAACUCCCACUCAGAUUAGACAUCCCUCUAGUCAUCUAAGUGUUACACGAUCCGAGUCGACUAGGCCGUGUCCGAUCAUCACGUGAGACGGACUAGUCAUCGUCGGUGAACAUCUUCAUGUUGAUCGUAUCUUCCAUACGACUCGUGUUCGACCUUUCGGUCUCUGUGUUCCGAGGCCAUGUCUGUACAUGCUAGGCUCGUCAAGUUAACCCUAAGUGUUUUGCAUGUGUAAAACUGUCUUACACCCGUUGUAUGUGAACGUAAGGAUCUAUCACACCCGAUCAUCACGUGGUGCUUCGAAACGAUGAACUUUAGCAACGGUGCACAGUUAGGGGAGAACACUUCUUGAAAUUGUUGUAAGGGAUCAUCUUAUUUACUACCAUCGUUCUAAGUAAACAAGAUGCAUAAACAUAAUAAACAUCACAUGCAAUUAUAUAGUAGUGACAUGAUAUGGCCAAUAUCAUAUAGCUCCAUUGAUCUCCAUCUUCGGGGCUCCAUGAUCAUCUUGUCACCGGCAUGACACCAUGAUCUCCAUCAUCAUGAUCUCCAUCAUCGUGUCUUCAUGAAGUUGUCACGCCAACGACUACUUCUACUUCUAUGGAUAACGCGUUUAGCAAUAAAGUAAAGUAAUUUACAUGGCGUUCUUCAAUGACACGCAGGUCAUACAAAAAAUAAAGACAACUCCUAUGGCUCCUGCCGGUUGUCAUACUCAUCGACAUGCAAGUCGUGAAUCCUAUUACAAGAACAUGAUCUCAUACAUAACAAUAUAUCAUUCAUCAUUCAUCACAACUUCUGGCCAUAUCACAUCACAUGACAAUUGCUGCAAAAACAAGUUAGACGUCCUCUAAUUGUUGUUGCAUCUUUUACGUGGCUGCAAUUGGGUUCUAGCAAGAACGUUUUCUUACCUACGAAUAACCACAACGUGAUUUUGUCAACUUCUAUUUACCCUUCAUAAGGACCCUUUUCAUCGAAUCCGCUCCAACUAAAGUGGGAGAGUCAGACACCCGCCAGCCACCUUAUGCAACUAGUGCAUGUCUGUCGGUGGAACCGGUCUCACGUAAGCGUACGUGUAAGGUUGGUCCGGGCCGCUUCAUCCCACAAUACCGCUGAAGCAGGAAAAGACUAGUAGUGGCAAGAAAGUUGACAAGAUCCACGCCCACAACAAAAUUGUGUUCUACUCGUGCAAUAGAGAACUACGCAUAGACCUAGCUCAUGAUGCCACUGUUGGGGAACGUUGCAGAAAAUUAAAAUUUUUCCUACGGUUUCACCAAGAUCCAUCUAUGAGUUCAUCUAAGCAACGAGUCAAGGGAGUGAGUUUGCAUCUACAUACCACUUGUAGAUCGCGUGCGGAAGCGUUCAAGGGGAUGGUGAUGAUGGAGUCGCACUCGCCGUGAUUCAGAUCACCGAUGACCAAGGCUGAACGGACAGCACCUCCGCGUUCAACACACGUACGGGACGGACGACGUCUCCUCCGUCUUGAUCCUGCAAGGAGGAAGGUGGAUGCAGCAGAACUCCGGCAGGGCUUCGCCAAGCUGCUGCGGGAGGAGGACGAGGUGUAGCAGGGGGAGGGAGGCGCCAAUGCACAGGGUUGCGGCUGCCCUCCCCCUUUCCCUCCUUUAUAUAGGCCCCAGGGGGCGCGCCGGCCCUGGGAGAUUCAAUCUCCCAAGGGGGCAGCGGCCAGGGGGGUGGAGUGCCCCCAAGGCAUGUGGUGCGCCCCCCACCCCACCCUAGGGUUUCAACCCUAGGCGCAGGGGGUGGGCCUAGGGGGGUGCACCAGCCCACUAUGGGCUGGCUCCCCUCCUACUUCAGCCCAUGGGGCCCUCUGGGAUGGGUGGCCCCACCCGGUGGACCCCCGGGACCCUUCCGGUGGUCCCGGUACAUUACCAGGUGACCCCGAAACUUUCCCGAUGGCCGAAAUACCACUUCCUAUAUAUAAUUCUUUACCUCCGGACCAUUCCGAAACUCCUCGUGAUGUCCGGGAUCUCAUCCGGGACUCCGAACAACAUUUGGUAUGCUGCAUACUCAUAUUCAUACAACCCUAGCGUCACCGAACCUUAAGUGUGUAGACCCUACGGGUUCGGGAGACACGUAGACAUGACCGAGACGACUCUCGGGCAAUAACCAACAGCGGGAUCUGGAUACCCAUGUUGGCUCCCACAUGCUCCUCGAUGAUUUCAUCGGAUGAACCAUGAUGUCGAGGAUUAAACAACCCCGUAUACAAUUCCCUUUGUCAAUCGGUACGUUACUUGCCCGAGACUCGAUCGUCGGUAUCCCAAUACCUUGUUCAGUCUCGUUACCGGCAAGUCACUUUACUCGUACCGUAAUGCAUGAUCUCGUGACCAACCACUUGGUCACUUUGAGCUCAUUAUGAUGAUGCAUUACCGAGUGGGCCCAGAGAUACCUCUCCGUCAUACGGAGUGACAAAUCCCAGUCUCGAUCCGUGUCAACCCAACAGACACUUUCGGAGAUACCUGUAGUGCACCUUUAUGGUCACCCAGUUACGUUGUGACGUUUGAUACACCCGAAGCACUCCUACGGUAUCCGGGAGUUACACGAUCUCAUGGUCUAAGGAAGAGAUACUUGACAUUGGAAAAGCUCUAGCAAACGAACUACACGAUCUUGUGCUAUGCUUAGGAUUGGGUCUUGUCCAUCACAUCAUUCUCCUAACGAUGUGAUCCCGUUAUCAACGACAUCCAAUGUCCAUAGCCAGGAAACCAUGACUAUCUGUUGAUCAACGAGCUAGUCAACUAGAGGCUCACUAGGGACAUAUUGUGGUCUAUGUAUUCACACGUGUAUUACGAUUUUCGGAUAAUACAAUUAUAGCAUGAAUAAAAGAUAAUUAUCAUGAACAAGGAAAUAUAAUAAUACUUUUAUUAUUGCCUCUAGGGCAUAUUUCCAACACGCAGCAGUCGAGAUGGAUGGGUUGCGGGAUCCGGGCAAGGGCAUGCGUUCCGCGGAGCGGGUAGUGGGGUUGGGGUCGGCAGGUGAUUGGUUGCAUGCGGGAGCGGUGGAGCGCGGUUGGUGGGGAGCUGGCUGGUGCGGUUGGUGGGGCCAGUACGAGGUAGGUGCGGGCGGUGGAUCCGAGAGAUCGGGUGGGGAUCGUUGCGAGGUGAGCGGAUUGGGUGCGGACGGGGACGGCGUGGCCGAUGGUGUGGGCGGUGCAUAAGGGAAUGAAGUUUCGUCAAAAACGACAUGCCGUGAGACUAUAACGAGAUGCAUGGAGAGAUCAUAGCACCUUACCCGUUAUGUUCGAGUGGAUAUCCUAAGAAAAUACACCGUGUCGAACAAGGAGAAAGUUUGUGAGGCAUAGUAGCGCAGGUGUUUGGAAAACAUAAGCAUCCAAACACAUGGAGGUGAUCAUAAGAUGGAUGAGCGUCAUGGAGAAGAAAGUAAGAGGUAUGAUCGGCGAUGGCAUGAGAGGGACGACGAUUUAGUAGGUAGGUGGCGGUGUGGAGGGCCUCGACCCGGAAGGGAGGAGUGAGGUUGGCUUGGAGAAGGAGAGAGCGUACGACAUCAUUGGUGAUGCAAAUGAGACGCUCCGCUUUGCCGUUUUGGGGAGAGGUGUGAGGGCAAGAAAAUCGAUAGACUAUGCCAUUGGCAGAGAAGAAAGAACGAAGGGACGAGUUAAUGAACUCCCCUCCAUUGCCGCAUUGCAUGGAUUUGAUAAUAACAUUGUAUUGUGUGUGGAUGAAGGUGAAGACACGUGCUAAUGUGGUGGAUGUGUCCGAUUUGUUGCGCAGAGGAAAUGUCCAAGAGUAGUGGGUGAAAUCAUCGAGCACAACAAGAUAAUAUUGAAAACCAGAGAAGCUUACAACGGGAGAGGUCCACAAAUCACAAUGUAUUAAAUCAAAGGGUGCAAAGGUUUUGCUAAAAGAAGAAGAAAAAGGAAGACGCGCUUGGCGUCCUAGUUGACAAGCAUUACAUGGAAUGUGUGCACUUUAAUUACAUGAAUUAAGGAAGUCGUUCGCGAGGGUAGACAUGGAGUGUGCGCCGGGGUUCCCAAGUUGACGAUGCCACAAGUCCGACGUGGAGACGGUGAACGCCGACGGUGGUGAAGGGUUAUUGUCGUGGAAGGGGUAGAGGUCACCGUUGCUAACGGAGAUCAUGAGAACCCUCCGAGUGCAAAGAUCCUUCACAAGAAAACCGCAAGGGUAAAAUUCAAUGGAGUGAGAAUUGUCUUUAGUAAAACGACGAACGGAAAUUAAACUAGUGACAACAUGAGGAGAGACUAGAACAUCGGUGAGGCGAAAAUUGUUAGGUGGAAGAGUGGUAGAGCUAGUGGUCGUGACAGGUAGGUGGUGCCCAUUGCCAACAAGUAUGCUAGAAGGAAUGUGCUUUAAAGAAUAACUAGACCGAGUUAUGUUACCUUGGUUGCCGGUCACAUGAGAGGAGGCGCCACUGUCGAAGUACCACUCGGGGGAAGGAGCGGACGGGAAACCACCGUUGCUGUAGGCGGCGUUGAGCAUGGCGGCGUGUUCCCAUGACAACGGAGGAUGCGAGUAGAAUGGAGCAGUGGGUGCCGCGGGCGCAUGGAGGAGCGAGUAGGCCUGCGCAUGCUAUCCGAGGCGCAAACCAAGAACGUCGGCGGCGUCCGGGGGGAUCCAGCUGGAGCGCGGGAAGGGAAGCGCCAUCCCAUAGGGCGCGAAGUAGCCGGUGAAGGGCGAUGCUGGGAGAGGAGCGGGAUGGCCGCGUCCAUUGUUGUCUCCAUGCCCACGGCCGCGGCCGCGACCUCAGCCACGGCCACCGCGAUCACCACCAUCGUGAUCACCACGCCCACGACCAGGGUGCGGGGGCGGUUGCGGGGGGAGCGACCGGCGCGCCUGCAGGGGGGCGAUCCGCACGAUCGCUCGGGGCACGGCCGCCCGCGCUUGAGCCGGCACCAGAGGCACCGCCACUCGUCAGGGCAAACACGGAGGCGCUCUCUUCAGCCGCGCGCUGCUCCUAGGACUCUUCAUCCAGGACGAUGCCAAAGGGCAGGUCCUAAUCACCAAGGACGACCCGGAUCAUGUCGAGCCGCUUGUCGAGGCCGUGCAGGAACUGGGUGGUGAGAUCCACCUCGGUGGCGGCGCGGUCGAUGUCGGCGAGGGCGUCGGUGAGGAGUUUCAUCCGGCGAGCGUACUCGGAGACGAACAGAUCGCCCUGCUUGAGGUUGCGGUACUGGCGGUUGAGGAUCAUGAAGCGAGCGGCGCGAUUUGCGAGGAAAUAAUCACGGAUCUUGUUCGAGAGGGCGAAGGUGGUGGUGGCGCCGACGACAUGAUCACACAUGGUGUCCGAGAGAGUGGCGUAGAUCCACAGAACGUCGUGGGCGUCGAGCUUGAGGUAGGUGGCGGAAGCGUUGGGUGGCGGCGGGUGUUCGAUGAGGAAGGAGACGCCAUAGCAGGCGAGGACCAUGAGGAAGAAAGUAUUCCAUUUGUGGUAGUUGUGAUCAGCAGGGUUGAGGAGGAACUUGAUGUGGUUUGUGAUGUGAUCCUGGAAAAUAGGGAGGCGAGGGGCGGGCGCCGGAGGAGCAGGGGGGACACCGGCGUUGAAUAGGAGGGCAAAUUGAGUGCCCGAGAUGGGGAAGGAGCCGCUGAGAAGAGAUGGGGAGGUGCCAAAGAUGAACGGCGGGGAGGAAGCAGUGGAGGUGGCCGCAACAAGAGCCGUCACGAAAGGCGACAGCGAGCCAGGGGAGGUGGCGGAGCUCGUGGCGGCGGCGGUGGAGGGGGAAGUCGCGGCCAUCAGGGCGCCUGGUUACUGAUACCAAGUUGGAGAGUUGUUUUGUAUUCACUGCUCAACUGAGUUACAAGGUACAGAUUAUAUCCCUGCAGGAAAAGAGCCAACACUCCUGAAAACAAGGCACGCAGGCCAGAUCCUACAAAGUAGGAUUGGAGUCAGUUUACACAACUCAACGUUACAAUUACACAGUACACGUUUAAGACUUGAUGCACACUCCGGGUGCAGCAGGAGGUUUUGGGUGGCUGGGUGCGAAGAAGUGAGUGCCAGAAAGGACACCAUAGCUACUCCAUCACACACCGACUAAUGUCCUGGCAGACAACGGUUGAGAAUCAUCAACGAGUCAUUUGCUUGCACCCGGACUGAUGUUGUGCGAGAGCCCGACACCCACCCACUAUGAAGUAGGCAAAAGAGCACUGAAAUCGGCUACAUCCCGCGGCGGCGGAAAGGCGAGCAGACAUCCUAUAAGAAAAUAGGAAAAAAAUCAUUUCUAAAAAGUAUAACUAAAAGGUCAAAUUAAACUAACAGAGUAGUUCGAUGUUUACAAAAAAUUUGGACUUCUCCGGUUUCUGAAUUGAAAAACCAAGAAGUUCAAAAGAAAAUAACUGAGUAGUUUGAUGUUUAUAGAAAAACGGAUUUUCUUAGUUUCUAAAAAUAAAAGAAAAAUGUUUAAAUUAAGGUAACACGGUAGUUUGAUGUUUAUUAAAAAACUAAAUUUAUUUGUCCAAAAUACAAAAAAACGACAGUGUGUAUGGCAUUUUUAAAACUACUCAUAAACACUGAUUUUUUUAAGAAAAUAUCUACAUGAAAAAGUUUCUCCUAUUCAUACGCUUUACCGAUAAAAGGUUCAUUAGUUUUGUGUAUACUGCUCAAAACCAGUUUAUCCAUAUUACAAAAGUACUCUUAAACCGUCGUGAAUUUAAAAAAAAUCAAACAAAUUUUUUGCUCCGUUUUAACAAUUUUCCAACAGUGUGCCAUUUGCUCAAUUCCAAUGAACACUUGAGAAGUUGCGUCCAAAAAACCAACGCAGAAAACAGAAUGAAAUUCAAACAAAAGUGCCUCAAAGUUCAAAGUCUGCAAGAGUGCAUUUUGAACAUUUUGUUUUCAUGACCAACAUAGCACCCAUGAUAUUAUUAUCAAAAAGUACUCUAAACCAGUUAAGAAUUAGAGAAAAGAUUCUAUAUGAAAAAGUUUUGCAUUUUCGGUAGCUUUCCAACGAUAUGUCAUUUGCCGCAUUGAAAGAAAGUAUUUAAAAGUUUCGCUUUCAAAAAAAUUCUGCCAAAUCCAAAAUUUUCUUUAAACCAUACAGAAUUUGGAAGAAAGCUAUAUACAAAAAGGUUUGCAUUGACACCAUCAGUCCAAUGUCAUACCAUUUGCUACAUUCUCAUGGACCAUGACAAUGAUGAUUCAAAAAGGUGAUUGCACAAAAAGCACCGGGGACCUUCAGAGCUCAGGCUACGGCGAUCCUGAUCUUAUCUCUCUCCUCCCCGCCCCUCCCCUCCCCUCCGUCGCUCCCCGCGCGGGCGACCGAGGGGCUCCAACCCUAGCCGCCGGGUCAUCGCUCCUUCCUCUCCCUCCUCUCCGUCGCCGCUGGUGGUCGGCGAUGGGCAUAGCCUGUGCAUGCGACGACGGCGGCCGAGGCACUCCUCCCUCAUGCGGGUCAUAGGGUGACGUGGUGCGCCCUGGCUCAAGGGUGUGACCCCAAUCUGGACUGCGGCAGCGCCGAUAUGGUUCAUGGCGGCCCAGAUUUGGACGGCGGCGAUGUGGCGGCCGACCGCGUCCUAAUGGCGGUUGUGGUGGCAGUGUUGGCGACGGCGAUGUCUACGGCGCGGCGGCGUCGGAGGCGGCGCGCGCUACGGGCACGGCGGCCUACCCUGUUUGGGGGGCGCCGAUGCUGCGGUUGGCGGCAUCGGAGGCGGCGCGGGCUAUGGGCACGGUGGCCUACCCUGUUUGGGCGGCGCCGGUGCUGCGGUCAUCGGCGGCGGCGGUGGGCCAUCUGCCUUUGGACCGGCGGCGGCGAGGAGGGACUGGUGGUCGCGUCGGUGGCACCUCCGAUUAGAUCUGUUCUGACAGGUGCAGCUGGCGGUGGUGGUCAUCUCUUCUGUCAGAGGUGGCCGGCUGAUAUGUCUCCAUCGUAUCUAUAAUUUUUUAUUGUUCCAUGCCAAUAUUAUUCAACUUUCAUAUACUUUUGGCAACUUUUUAUAUUAUUUUUGGGACUAACAUAUUGAUCCAGUGCCCAGUGUCAGUUCCUGUUUGUUGCAUGUUUUAUGUUUCGUAGAAAACCCAUAUCAAACGGAAUCCAAACGGGAUAAAAACGGACGGAGAAUUAUUUUGGAAUAUUUGUGAUUUUUGGGAAGUAAAAUCAACGCGAGACGGUGCCCGAGGUGGCCAGGAGAUAGGGGCGCGCCCCAGGGAGGCAGGCGCGCCCUGGAUCUCCUGGGCUCCCCGUAAGGCGGUUGACGCUCUUAUUUUGCCGUAAGAAAGCUAAUUUUAUGAGAAAAAACUGGGCGAAAGAUUUACCCCAAUCGGAGUUACGGAUCUCCGGAUAUAAAAGAAACGGUGAAGGGGCAGAAUCUGGGAACGCAGAAAGAGAGAGACAGAGAGAUAGAUCCAAUCUCGAAGGGGAUCUCGCCCCUCCCAAGCCAUGGGAGCCAAGGACAAGAGGGAAAACCCUUCUCCCAUCUAGGGAGAAGGUCAAGGAAGAAGAAGAAGAAGACGAAGGGGGGGGCUCUCUCUCCCUUGCUUCCGGUGGCGCCGGAGCGCUGCCGGGGGCCAUCAUCAUCACCGCGAUCUACACCAACACCUCCGCCAUCUUCACCAACAUCUCCAUCACCUUCCCCCCUCUAUCUAAAGCGGUCCACUCUCCCGCAACCCGUUGUACCCUCUACUUGAACAUGGUGCUUUAUGCUUCAUAUUAUGAUCCAAUGAUGUGUUGCCAUCCUAUGAUGUUUGAGUAGAUUUUCGUUGUCCUAUUGGUGGUUGAUGAAUUGCUAUGAUUGAUUUAAUUUGCUUAUGGUUAUGUUGCUGUUCUUUGGUGCCCAUCAUAUGAGCGCGCGCGUGGAUCACACCAUAGGGUUAGUUGUAUGUUGAUAGGCUAUGUAUUGGAGGGCAAGAGUGACAGAAGCUUCAACCUAGCAUAGAAAUUGAUGCAUACGGAAUUGAAGGGGGACCAAUAUAUCUUAAUGCUAUGGUUGGGUUUUACCUUAAUGAAUGUUAGUAGUUGCGGAUGUUUGCUAAUAGUUCCAAUCAUAAGUGCAUAGAAUUCCAAGUCAGGGAUGACAUGCUAGCAGUGGCCUCUCCCGCAUAAAACUUGCUAUCAGUCUAGUAAAGUAGCUUAGGGACAAUUCCGCAACUCCUGCCACCACUUUACCACACUCGCUAUAUUUACUUUAUUGUUUAUUUAUCUAAACAGACCUUAGUUUUUAUUUACGCGUUCUUUAUAUUCUUGCAAACCUAUCCAACAACACCUACAAAGUACCUCUAGUUUCAUACUUGUUCUAGGUAAAGCGAACAUCAAGCGUGCGUAGAGUCGUAUCAGUGGCAGAUAGGACUUGAGAGAGUAUUUGUUUUACCUUUAGCUCCUCGUUGGGUUCGACACUCUUACUUAUCGAAACAGGCUACAACUAUUCCGUAUACUUGCGGGUCAUCACCGGCCUGUGGCUGGGUGGUCGGAUCUUGAGAUUCGUCAUCUAGUCUCAGCUACGAGGGGGGAGACAUAGUUGCCGGUGAAAACUGAGCCAUUGGCGGGCGAUGACGGCGUUUUGCGCCGUUACCUUGAUGAAGGCAUCGUCAUGUAACUGUUGUCGACCCACUCGUGCGGCUUCGAGGAAAACCCUAGGACCUGGUCUUCCAGAUCGGACGAUGGAGGUACUACGGUGUCGUUUCUCUCUUGGGAGUAUCGUUUGUGGAGCAUCGCUGGAAGACAGAUGCAGGAGGUAGAGCGGCUUCGUCUUGCACGGAGCUUCGAUGGAGCUGUCAAGUCAUGUCUGUCCGACAGGUGCUACGCUGAGUCAUGCAUGGUUGGUAGGUGCUAUGCACGACAGAUCUUCCAGAGUCUUCGUGUCUGGACGGACGAGCGCAGGGCGGUGGCGCCGUGGUGGCGUCGACGGAUGUCCGGACUGGCAAGGAUGAUGCGGAUCUCUCUCUUGAAGAUGGGUAAGUGGUCCGAUGAUGAUGGCGACUUCUAAAACGUAUGCAUGUGGUGUGCACUUUAGGUAGGCUGCACCGGCUGCUGGUCCCGAUACGUUAUGUGGAUGGAUCGGCGACGACACUGUUUUUCGAUAUGAGGAGUGAGAGCACUCCACAUUAUCGAGUUUGUAGGUGUGAGUGGUGGCUUCGGGUGGAUUAAUGUAUGUUCUUGUUAGACCUUUGUAAAAUAAUUAAUAAAGAUGGCUGCAUGCAUCGAUUGAUGCAGAGGCCGGGGGUUUAACCUUCUUUUCAAAAACAAAAAAUCUCACGGACCAUUUAAAUAACAACGUAGAAAUACUAUCUCGUUCAAACUUCUGUCAUUUGCAAAUUACGUUUAAACCUUUUGGAAUUGUAAAACACUUUCUACAUGAAAUAUUAGAACAUUUACAAAGCUUUCCAACACCAUAUCAUUUGCAUCAUUUUGAUAAACCGUGCAGAAAUUCGCCCAAAAGUAUGAACUUGUUCGGUGGGAAAAAUUUCGCCAUUUCUAAAAUUCCUUUUAAAAUGUAGGGAUUUGGGGAAAAAAAUUCUACAUAAGGAUGAGCACAAUGGCAGCAGCUUUCCAAUGCCAUAUCAUUUGGCUCGUUCUGAUCAACAAUUUGAAAAUGAGCGCGAAAAUCCAAUCAUGUGUUUUCUAUAUGAGUAAACAUGGUAUUUUCGUAUGCUUUUAAUAUAUUUAUUUGUGCGUGCGUGUGUGUGUAAUAAUUAUAUGUAUAUAUGUUUUAAAAUAGUUAUAUUUUGGCAAUUCUACAGAAAGCGUUCAUCAUGUAUUUAAGAAUGUUCAUGGUGUACUAUAAAUGUUUAUCAUGUUCUAAAAAAAUUUCAACGUGUAUUAAAGACAUUCAUCAUGUAUCUAAUAUGUUUAUGCAUUUUAGACAAUGUCCAUCAUGUAUUAAAAAGCUCAUUGCGUACUAAAAAAUGUUUAUCGUGCAUUAGAAAAUUUUCAUCGUAAAUUAUAAAAAUAUUCACCAUGUAUAAAAAAUGUUCUCAUGUAUUAAAAUGCACAUCACGCAUUAGAAAAUGUUCACCAUAUAUUUUGAAACCAUUCAUCAAUUCAUCAUGUAUUUGACAACAUUAAUCAUGUAUAUUAAACACAUAGUGUCUUAAUAGUAUUCAUUGUGUAUUUACAAAAGAAUUACUUCUUUCUACGAAGCACACUAAAAAAGCCAAUAAAAGAAGGGGGAAAAUAGAAAGGAGAAACUGAGAAAGGAAAAUCAAAGAAGAUAAAAACAGAAAAAAAAAAAGGAAAAGGAAUAAGAAUAAAAUUAAGUAAAGAAAAACAAAAGAUCGGGCAGAGAGCUACCACCAUUGCACGGGAAGAAAAUCAGAAUGAACGACACACCGUUCAGAUGUCGCGUGAGAAGCGAACCAACCCGUGGUUGGAUGGUUAGAGGGACUGUGGUAUAUCCAGCCCACCAGGGUUCAAGUUGUCACAUCCCUAGUUCUGGCCUGACCUAUGCUUGCUUCCAUCUGUGCAUCAUGUUUAAAUUUUUGAAACUUGAACUGAGGAAAUUUGGAAGCCUCAAAACCCUAAAUAAAAGAAGGGCAAAAACCCUGAAAUCUCAUUCAUUGCUCCAAAAUGCUCCUCUUAAAUGUUUGAUAAUUUUUGGCAAGGGUUCUGGUCCCAACCAAAAUAUUGAACAUUUUUAAGGAUUUAUUUUUGGGACUUUGAAUUUAAAUCAUUAGCUAUUUGAAUUUGAAUUAUAUUCAUAUAAUUAGAAUAUAAUUUCAAAUACCCCUGAAAUAUUUUAUGAGCUUUUGGAAAAGUCCAUCUAGCAAAAUAAAAAUAUUCAGAGGAGUUUUUUUGGCAUUGUUUGAAUUUGUUUAAAUUCAAAACAAUGGCAAAAGAUUAAAUAAAAAUAAAACAGAACAGAAAAUUUAAAAAAAGAGCAGAAGGACUUACCUGGCGCCCACUUACCUGGCCCAGCUCCUCCAGCGGCCCAGCCCACCUCCUCCUCUCUGUCGUCUUCCUCCCCCUCGCCCCGAAGCUGCUCGGUGGCGAGCGCUGGCGAUGCCUCGGCCACCUCCUGCCUCCCUGCUUGCCUCCGCUAUUCCCUGGAGACGCCACGCAGCCCCUGGCUCUCUCUCACUCUCUCCCUCGCCUCAUCCUCUCCUCUGCUCUCUCUCCCUCUCUGCCCGAGCGGAGCUCGUCGCCACCGACGCCGUUCGCCGCGGCCACAGCCACCCCCUCGCUCCCUCCUCGCAUCCCUGAGCUCCGUCCCGACCCCAUGGAGCUGCACACCGACGCACGUGACCAGAGGAGGCCCCAGUCGACCGGAGCGUCGUCGUCUUCAUCUCCGGUGCCCGGAGAUCGCCGCCGUAAAUUCGCGUCGUCCAGAGCUUCCCCGACCUCGUCGUCGACUCUGCUAGUCCCUACGUGAGCUCCUCUCCAUUUCCCCCCUGUGCCCUUCCUCUAGCGCGUCCUCUAGCACCGAUUCCGCCAUGGCCGAAGCUCACCUCCGCCGAGCUCGCCGCCGGCGUAGCUCCGGUGACCAUUUGGUCACCCCGGCGAGCCCUGCGCGUUCGUAGUUUCCCGUAGAGCAUGCCUAGCACAAAAACUAGCCCGCUUGCUUCUGCAGCAUCAAACCCGUGGUCGCCCGAACUCCGGCGGCCACCUAGGUCGUCGCCGGCGCCGAUUCCGGCCGCCCCAACCCCAACCGACUCCACAGGAAGACGCGGCGCUCUUCCAGCUAUUCGUAGAGCCCCUCCCCCGUCCGUUUGGUCGCCGGAGCAAGAAACCCGAAGGCCUCCGCCGCCUCGGCCUCGCCGGCGACUCAACGCCGGCGGGAUUGACCCUACUGACCAGGGGUUUGACCUCCCCUGGGUCCAUGACAGGUGGACCCCGCCAUCAGGUGAUUAGCUUAAGCUAAUCACCACCUAAUCUAACCCCCUGACACUGACAUGUGAGCCCUAGUGCCCCUAAUCUCUAAUUAAACUAAACUAAACCCCCCUGUUUAACCCGUGUCACUGACGUGUGGACCCCACACGUCAGGUUUGACCUAGACCCGCCUAGUUGACCUGCUGACAUCAGCAUGACCUAGUGCUGACGCAAUAAAUCAUUUUCUGGAUUUAUUUUAAUUCAGGAAAUUCCAGAAAAUGAUUUAAACUUCAAAAAUUCAUAGAAAUUCAACCGUAGCUCAGAAUGAAAUAAAUUAUAUAUGAAAAAUUAUCAGAAAAAUUCAAGGAAUCCAUCUGUACCAUUUCCAUGCAUGUUAGAACAACUUAUCACUACUGUUUAGGACAAAUGAAGUGAAUGGCAUUUAAAUAAUCACAUAUGGGGUUUGAAUUUGAAUCUUGUAUUCAAACCAACCCCAUUUAACUUGUUGCUAGAUGCAUUAGCCCAAAACACAUUCAUAUUGCCAUGUCAUAGCAUGCAUCAUAUUGUGCAUUGCAUUGAUCGUGUUUCUUCUGUGUUUGCCGGUGUUGUUCCCCCCUCGGUAGACGCUGUACCGAUGAUGUGAUCGUUGACACUGAUGAAGACUCAAUGUUAUCUUCAGAAGUGCCAGGCAAGCAAAACCCCCUUGUUCAUUCCGAUAAAAUCCCACUCUCUCGCUCCUGCUCUCUUUUACUGCAUUAGGACAACAACGAUUCAUCUGUUACUUGCUGCGGUAGUUGAACCCCUUUAUCCUCUGCAUGACCUGUCAUUGCCACAGUAAAUAGAUGAAACCCACUAGCAUGAGUAGGAGUUGUUUGAGCCCUGAUGUGCCUACUCAUUCAUGCUUGUUUGUCAUGCCUGCUACUGCUUAGAGUUGAGUCAGGUCUGAUUCAUCGGGGAUGAAUCAGAGGCGUGUGAACAUGUCCUACUGUGUGUGAGCUAAGUGUGUGAACACGAUUUGGUAAAGGUAGCGGUGAGAGGCCAUGUAGGAGUACAUGGUGGGUUGUCUCAUUGCAGCCGUCCUCAGGAACUGAGUUCUGUGUUUGUGAUCCAUGAACAGCUACUACCACACAUUGGGAUCCUUAAUUGACUCUCUCGACUUAUUAAUCAACAUGAUCUCUGUCCAGGAGUUGCAACUAGUUUCUGGUGUUUGUAGGUAGUGUUAGUAGUCUACCAAGUGGCACCCGGUACAGGUGGGCUUGGGACAGACUCGGCACAGUGGCACGGUGUACCAAGUGGCACCCGGAUGGUGGGCUUGGGAACCCUGCUCACAUCGUUUGGGGCCGUGAGCGACACCCCGGCCGGAUCUCCUUGCGGAUGGAACCCGAAUAGGCGAUAAACCUGGACGAGAGACUUGUUUGGUUAGUCAGGUCGUGGCCGACUCCCUCGCCCGGCUUCCGCUUGAAGGUUGCCGAGGUACAUGACAUGUACAGGGCGAUAAGUGGCGGGAGCGUGUGUGAAGAAGUACACCCCUGCAGGGUUAUCAUUAUCUAUUCGAAUAGUCGGAUUCCUCGGAUAUGGAAACUUGGACCCCUUGCAUAGUUCAUAGACAAGUGAAAGUGGAUACUCUAAAAUACGCAAGAUAAGCGUGAGUGCUAUGGAUGGCGUUCUCGUAGGGAGACGGGAGCGGAUCCAUAGUGGUGUAUUGAUAUGGUGAAUAUGUGGACUCGUGUGCGCCACCUCAAAAGAGUUACUUGCAGUCGUAGUUCAGGUUAGCCACCGAGUCAAAGCUGGCUUGCUGCAGUUAAACUCCACCACCCCCUUUGUUGAUAAUGAUGCAUAUGUAGAUAGAUCUGAUGUAAGUCUUGCUGGGUACAUUUGUACUCACGUUGCUUAAUUUAUGUUUUUGCAGAGAGACUUCAGUCUCACUAGUAGUUCCGCGUGGACUUCGACGUUUAGCUUGAUACCUCAGCUACGAUCUUGUGCCCUCGGCAGGAUCUGGUAGAUAGUCAGGCUCCUCAGCCUUUUUCAUUUAUAGAUGUCUGUACUCAGACAUAUUAAGCUUCCGCGUGUGCUUUGAUUUGUAUGCUCUGAUUGUUGGGUCAUGAGACCCAUGUUUGUAAUAUCUCGCUCCUCGGAGCCUAUUGAAUAAAUAUUUGAGUUGUAGAGUCAUGUUGUGAUGCCAUGUUGUACUUGCACAUAUCGAGCAUAUUGUGUGUAUGUUAUUGAAAUGCUUGGUAUGUGUGGGAUCUGACAACCUAGUUGUUUAUCCUUGGUAGCCUCUCUUACCGGGAAAUGUCUCCUAGUGUUUCCACUGAGCCUUGGUAGCUUGCUACUGCUCCGGAACACUUAGGCUGGCCGGCAUGUGUCCUUCUUCGUUCCUGUGUCUGUCCCUUCGGGGAAAUGUCACGCGAUGAAUACCGGAGUCCUAUUAGCCCGCUACAGCCCGGUUCACCGGAGUCCUGCUAGCCCAGUGCUACAGCCUGGAUUCACUCGCUGAUGACCGACACGUUCGAUGUUGGGUCAUGGAUGCCUGUCCCUGUAAGUUUGUGCCACUUUGGGUUUACGACUAGCCAUGUCAGCCCGGGCUCCUUAUCAUAUGGAUGCUAGCGACACUAUCAUAUACGUGUGCCAAAAGACGCAAACGGUCCCGGGCAAAGGUAAGGCGACACCCGUGGGAAUACCGUGCGUGAGGCCGCAAAGUGAUAUGAGGUGUUACAUGCUAGAUCGAUGUGGCAUUGAGUCGGGGUCCUGACAGCGUUGGUAUCAGAGCUUGACUGCCUGUAGGAUUAGCAAGCCAAACUGGUCGAAGUGAGUCUAGAAAUUCUUUAGUUAUAUAAGGGAAUUGAUUGUGGGAUGGAACGUAAGGCUCUUUUUACUCCUUUACCUCAUGCCCUUCUGAUCUGAGUCAUCUUAUCUUUCCUACGGGGUUAAGGAACUAGGCUUUCUCUUCUUCUAUCAGGAUCACGUGUUACUUAUCCGUAGACUUAUAAGAUUGUUGGACUUAAGCCUCUGUUCAGUUCCUACUACUUCUGUAUGUUAAUUGUUGAUCUCGAGACCUUGAUAUUGUGUUUCUGAAUGGUUAUGCCACCAUUUUUGUGAAUGCCUCAAAUCUUUUCUGAGCAUUUACAGCCGUUAUGCUGUCCGAGUCAUCCCAGGUUUUCAAAGAGUCUGAUGCAUUUGCAAAUCCUUUUCCUCUGGUUUCAAUGUCUUUUUAGGCCAGGUUAAUCACACAAAUUGUUGAGUUGAGGUACUCUACUGCCUCGACCUUUAUGUUGGAGUUAUUAUUAUGACCCUAGGUGUCUUAGGGGAUCAUCUAGUAAUUUAGCCAUGAUCUGUGUUUCCAGUGUGAUGAUUCUGGCCUUUAUUCUCGAAAGCAUCCCGUGAUGCUACCUAGUAGUAGGUAUUCUAUUCCUGGUUUUUGAACCCGAGAUUCACUCUACUUACUUCAUGUUGAUAGUGUUUGCUAGUUCCUUUAGGAUAUUAGUAAAUUUGCGAUAGUCCUCGAGGUCCGUGGUAUAUCGUUCUUCCAAAUACCAUGAACCAUUAUGGCAGAAGUUUGUUGGAUCAAAAGAUCACAACAGGCCCUCUAUGAGUUCUCCAUUAUAUAUUGUGGCUCUGCCAGUUCUACCCUUCCGCAUGGAUUGCCCGGAAGAAAUAUGUUGAAUUCGUUCGACAUGCUAAACCAUGCAUCCACAACUCAGAAAAUCGUAUGUUCCUUUGAGUUGUCCCUUUUUAGUUGUCUACUGACCUUCGUCUAUCAAUUGAUAGUCAAGAGUAUGCGUGCGUUCGUUUAUCGAUGCCUAUUACUCUUGUGGUCCGUCAAGCCAUUCUAUCGCGGAAUGACUAGGAGAAACAAACUCCAGUACCUCUUCCAUAUCCAGGAUUGGGUCAAAGAAAUUGUGCUCCACAGAUCAAAUUGCUAAUCCAGCUUUUGUUCUGCUCUACCUUGGAGUAUUACCAUCUUUAUAUCGGGAUUGUUAUAGGAAUUGCACACCAUCCUAUGAACUCUUGGUAGUGAUACUUCUCACCAUCGUUAGUCAUUUCUCGGUCCCCAUGUUGUUGAACCGGAAUGCCGACAAGUGAAUCGUGAUGUGUGAAAUCAAUACUCCUAGCAACUCCGUUGCUUGGUAGUUAAAUGGACGAUAACCUCAUUCUUAGCGUGUUGAUUAUUGAAUCGUCACCCUAAGGUUGAUUGUGCUACCUAGUCCUUAUUUCGGUGCACCCUUCGAUUGAUGAGUUAGGAUCUUGUCAAGUCCUCACUCAUUUGAUCAUAUCGUCUUGCCCUCAAAAGCGAGAUUGUUCUCGAGCUUAGUAACAUACCGGUGGUUCGUGAUUUUCUGAAUAUCUUCUCGGAAGUAUUACCAGGUUGUCCCUUGACUGUUAUGUUGAGCUCGUGAUCAAGUUGGUUUAUUCCUGUAAACCACCCCUUCUCCAAGAAUCCGUGUUGGAUACCCUGAGCUAGUUGGAUAAGCUAAACAACAACUUGGAGAGUUGGAAGAAAAAAGCUUGCCUGACUUAGCUCGUUCCAAAGGGAUAUUCUUGUGUAGUGUGUGUUGAAGAAAGAUGAUAUCUUCAUCGAUUGGUCCCUGUGAUCAGUUGCUGGACCUAUUAUCUUAUCCAAUCUUUGAUUUGAGUAUGAGCUAUCGUCAAAUCAAAUCAGAACCAACGAUACUCGUAAUGUUGUCUUACUCGUGGUUUUCCUCGAGCAUACACCAUUAUAUUCUUUGGUCUGACCAAUACUACCACCGUGUUCACAUGAUGGCGGAAGUCCAGUGAUAUGGAAAUUCCGAUGAGUUACUGUUGAGCCCAUCAGCAGCAUUUUGUCUCCCCCAUGAUUCAUGUUGAACAUCAACCUAGUGUUGGAAACUUGUGUAAGCAUUUUCUUCAUGCCCCGUUCAUGAAGUAUGUGUUUGGAUGAAAGAAGUGACUUCCUUUGAUUCACGUGCAUUUGAUGUAAGUUGCCGCCGUGAAUUCGAGAAAGUCUAUUUUUGCUUCCUCUAGAAUCAUCCCAACUCAGCCAUGCACGUGCAAAGUAUUCUGUGGUCUGUUAGACUGAUCAUCUUCGUUCCAUAUGAAUUCUGUAGCACACCAAGCCACUAACUGAUUUGUUCCAGGAGAAGGAGUUCUUUUUAAGAGCUAACCCGGGCUUAAUCAAGAACUUUGAUAUCCUCGAUGAUGGUUCCCAACCAGAACUCGGUAGUGUUUUAUUAUAAGACUACCAUGUGGUCAUGCUUGUCUAGGACAGCGUGUUCACAUGUGUGUAGCAGAACCAGCUCAUGUUUUGGAGCUCGCUAUCGUAGUUCAUUUCCCGAGAAUCUCGCAACGUCAUCUCGUCGAUUUGUGUUGCAAACUUUCAUUUUUAUUCCUAGGCUCGAUGAGUCUGGAAUAUCCCGACACCAACUAGAUCUGAAUCUCAGGCAGAUAUGAUGGUUGGAACAUUUCCCAAGAACUAUAAUAUUGGCCCCUCGAUAACCGGUAAGGUGGAUGUCGUGGCCAACACACCCAGCCGGAAGACCCAUUAUUGUAGUAUCUUGAUUGAGGAAGUUGGCCACCUCCCCAUAAGGAUUUCGCAGGAUUUACCUCCGUAGUUAUUCCUUAUGGAUUCUUGUGCUCCCGAAGUCCGACCUUUACUUGAUGUUCUAGAUACCAGACCAUUUCUAUGAAUGGGAUACACUAGCACAUCAAGGAGAACAUUAGAAGCGGAGUGCUAAAUGUCUCUCGGUCGAUCAUCCAGAUUUUAUUUCCUUGGCCCCGCCAAGGGUGAAAUCUGAGAAAGUGUUAUCUUUCUUUGUAUCUGCAUCAUCCAUCAUCAUUCAUCAUGGUAGCAAGUUGUGUUGCCAGGAUCCUUGACAUGGAUAUUGGUAAAAUCUUGAUGGUUAUGGAAAUGCUCAAGUUCUUGAGAGCACGCGCAAGUGCUAGGUUUGAUCGUCGGCAUUAACUGUAUAGUGCUCUCAGUUUCCUCGGCAAUGCUAUGACCUUUUCAAACAGUGAAUUCACCCUCUAUUGUUGGGUUCUUCCCAGUUACCAGAAUCAUUCCCAGCAUUUGCAUUUUGUUCCCAGCUUGCACCGCCAAUGUGCCAUUCUACCAUGGGUCCCUUCCAUUUCCGGUGGUAAGCAAAUUCAUCCAUUACGUUGUCUUCAACAAGGUAAUCCACAUCAUCCAAGUCCAAGUAUGCCAUUCUACCGAACCCCUCUAAAUGAUCGAUUAUGAUUUGCCUUAAGCUGGUAUAAAGAGUUUCAAUGAUCUUUGAAUCAAAGGUAAUUCUUUUUGCCACUUAAGGGGAUAUUUCCACAAGUCACCUUCCCUAAGGUGCCCCGUUAUGGUAUCGUGGCAACUCAACUCCUCGCUACGUUGACAAUCGUUUACCACCUUCUUAGGUGUGGAAUUGUUGUCUACUUAGUGAACCUUCGUCAUCUGCUUCACCCCAUUCCUAUGGAUCUGUGCUUCGUCUCUCAGCUUGAGAGAUGUUGCUAUGUCUCAUUCCGUGGGUUAAUCCUGAGUUGUUCGACUUUCGAGAAGAUCGACCCUUCUAGAGUCUCCUUCUUCUCUCCAUGUCAUGUUGGCAGGAUUUCUCAGAGCAAGACUUCAAGAUAAAGAUGGUGAUUGAAUCAACGUUCAUUUGGCGUGCAACCUGGAUCGUGAAGAUUGUGUUAGGUUGCGUUCCCCAUCGUCUUACCCUACACUUGAAUCUUGGGCCGAGAUUCUUGUUUAGUGGGGGUGAGUUGUCACAUCCCUAGUUCUGGCCUGACCUAUGCUUGCUUCCAUCUGUGCAUCAUGUUUAAAUUUUUGAAACUUGAACUGAGGAAAUUUGGAAGCCUCAAAACCCUAAAUAAAAGAAGGGCAAAAACCCUGAAAUCUCAUUCAUUGCUCCAAAAUGCUCCUCUUAAAUGUUUGAUAAUUUUUGGCAAGGGUUCUGGUCCCAACCAAAAUAUUGAACAUUUUUAAGGAUUUAUUUUUGGGACUUUGAAUUUAAAUCAUUAGCUAUUUGAAUUUGAAUUAUAUUCAUAUAAUUAGAAUAUAAUUUCAAAUACCCCUAAAAUAUUUUAUGAGCUUUUGGAAAAGUCCAUCUAGCAAAAUAAAAAUAUUCAGAGGAGUUUUUUUGGCAUUGUUUGAAUUUGUUUAAAUUCAAAACAAUGGCAAAAGAUUAAAUAAAAAUAAAACAGAACAGAAAAUUUAAAAAAAAAGAGCAGAAGGACUUACCUGGCGCCCACUUACCUGGCCCAGCUCCUCCAGCGGCCCAGCCCACCUCCUCCUCUCUGUCGUCUUCCUCCCCCUCGCCCCGAAGCUGCUCGGUGGCGAGCGCUGGCGAUGCCUCGGCCACCUCCUGCCUCCCUGCUUGCCUCCGCUAUUCCCUGGAGACGCCACGCAGCCCCUGGCUCUCUCUCACUCUCUCCCUCGCCUCAUCCUCUCCUCUGCUCUCUCUCCCUCUCUGCCCGAGCGGAGCUCGUCGCCACCGACGCCGUUCGCCGCGGCCACAGUCACCCCCUCGCUCCCUCCUCGCAUCCCUGAGCUCCGUCCCGACCCCAUGGAGCUGCACACCGACGCACGCGACCAGAGGAGGCCCCAGUCGACCGGAGCGUCGUCGUCUUCAUCUCCGGUGCCCGGAGAUCGCCGCCGUAAAUUCGCGUCGUCCAGAGCUUCCCCGACCUCGUCAUCGACUCUGCUAGUCCCUACGUGAGCUCCUCUCCAUUUCCCCCCUGUGCCCUUCCUCUAGCGCGUCCUCUAGCACCGAUUCCGCCAUGGCCGAAGCUCACCUCCGCCGAGCUCGCCGCCGGCGUAGCUCCGGUGACCAUUUGGUCACCCCGGCGAGCCUUGCGCGUUCGUAGUUUCCCGUAGAGCAUGCCUAGCGCAAAAACUAGCCCGCUUGCUCUCUGCAGCAUCAAACCCGUGGUCGCCCGAACUCCGGCGGCCACCUAGGUCGUCGCCGGCGCCGAUUCCGGCCGCCCCGACCCCAACCGACUCCACAGGAAGACGCGGCGCUCUUCCAGCUAUCCGUAGAGCCCCUCCCCCGUUCGUUUGGUCGCUGGAGCAAGAAACCCGAAGGCCUCCGCCGCCUCGGCCUCGCCGGCGACUCAACGCCGGCGGGAUUGACCCUACUGACCAGGGGUUUGACCUCCCCUGGGUCCAUGACAGGUGGACCCCGCCAUCAGGUGAUUAGCUUAAGCUAAUCACCACCUAAUCUAACCCCCUGACACUGACAUGUGGGCCCUAGUGCCCCUAAUCUCUAAUUAAACUAAACUAAACCCCCCCUGUUUAACCCGUGUCACUGACGUGUGGACCCCACACGUCAGGUUUGACCUGGACCCGCCUAGUUGACCUGCUGACAUCAGCAUGACCUAGUGCUGACGCAAUAAAUCAUUUUCUGGAUUUAUUUUAAUUCAGGAAAUUCCAGAAAAUGAUUUAAACUUCAAAAAUUCAUAGAAAUUCAACCGUAGCUCAGAAUGAAAUAAAUUAUAUAUGAAAAAUUAUCAGAAAAAUUCAAGGAAUCCAUCUGCACCAUUUCCAUGCAUGUUAGAAAAACUUAUCACUACUGUUUAGGACAAAUGAAGUGAAUGGCAUUUAAAUAAUCACAUAUGGGGUUUGAAUUUGAAUCUUGUAUUCAAACCAACCCCAUUUAACUUGUUGCUAGAUGCAUUAGCCCAAAACACAUUCAUAUUGCCAUGUCAUAGCAUGCAUCAUAUUGUGCAUUGCAUUGAUCGUGUUUCUUCUGUGUUUGCCGGUGUUGUUCCCCCCUCGGUAGACGCUGUACCGAUGAUGUGAUCGUUGACACUGAUGAAGACUCAAUGUUAUCUUCAGAAGUGCCAGGCAAGCAAAACCCCCUUGUUCAUUCCGAUAAAAUCCCACUCUCUCGCUCCUGCUCUCUUUUACUGCAUUAGGACAACAACGAUUCAUCUGUUACUUGCUGCGGUAGUUGAACCCCUUUAUCCUCUGCAUGACCUGUCAUUGCCACAGUAAAUAGAUGAAACCCACUAGCAUGAGUAGGAGUUGUUUGAGCCCUGAUGUGCCUACUCAUUCAUGCUUGUUUGUCAUGCCUGCUACUGCUUAGAGUUGAGUCAGGUCUGAUUCAUCGGGGAUGAAUCAGAGGCGUGUGAACAUGUCCUACUGUGUGUGAGCUAAGUGUGUGAACACGAUUUGGUAAAGGUAGCGGUGAGAGGCCAUGUAGGAGUACAUGGUGGGUUGUCUCAUUGCAGCCGUCCUCAGGAACUGAGUUCUGUGUUUGUGAUCCAUGAACAGCUACUACCACACAUUGGGAUCCUUAAUUGACUCUCUCGACUUAUUAAUCAACAUGAUCUCUGUCCAGGAGUUGCAACUAGUUUCUGGUGUUUGUAGGUAGUGUUAGUAGUCUACCAAGUGGCACCCGGUACAGGUGGGCUUGGGACAGACUAGGCACAGUGGCACGGUGUACCAAGUGGCACCCGGAUGGUGGGCUUGGGAACCCUGCUCACAUCGUUUGGGGCCGUGAGCAACACCCUGGCCGGAUCUCCUUGCGGAUGAAACCCGAAUAGGCGAUAAACCUGGACGAGAGACUUGUUUGGUUAGUCAGGUCGUGGCCGACUCCCUCGCCCGGCUUCCGCUUGAAGGUUGCCGAGGUACAUGACAUGUACAGGGCGAUAAGUGGCGGGAGCGUGUGUGAAGAAGUACACCCCUGCAGGGUUAUCAUUAUCUAUUCGAAUAGCCGGAUUCCUCGGAUAUGGAAACUUGGACCCCUUGCAUAGUUCAUAGACAAGUGAAAGUGGAUACUCUAAAAUACGCAAGAUAAGCGUGAGUGCUAUGGAUGGCGUUCUCGUAGGGAGACGGGAGCGGAUCCAUAGUGGUGUAUUGAUAUGGUGAAGAUGUGGACUCGUGUGCGCCACCUCAAAAGAGUUACUUGCAGUCGUAGUUCAGGUUAGCCACCGAGUCAAAGCUGGCUUGCUGCAGUUAAACUCCACCACCCCCUUUGUUGAUAAUGAUGCAUAUGUAGAUAGAUCUGAUGUAAGUCUUGCUGGGUACAUUUGUACUCACGUUGCUUAAUUUAUGUUUUUGCAGAGAGACUUCAGUCUCACUAGUAGUUCCGCGUGGACUUCGACGUUUAGCUUGAUACCUCAGCUACGAUCUUGUGCCCUCGGCAGGAUCUGGUAGAUAGUCAGGCUCCUCAGCCUUUUUCAUUUAUAGAUGUCUGUACUCAGACAUAUUAAGCUUCCGCGUGUGCUUUGAUUUGUAUGCUCUGAUUGUUGGGUCAUGAGACCCAUGUUUGUAAUAUCUCGCUCCUCGGAGCCUAUUGAAUAAAUAUUUGAGUUGUAGAGUCAUGUUGUGAUGCCAUGUUGUACUUGCACAUAUCGAGCAUAUUGUGUGUAUGUUAUUGAAAUGCUUGGUAUGUGUGGGAUCUGACAACCUAGUUGUUUAUCCUUGGUAGCCUCUCUUACCGGGAAAUGUCUCCUAGUGUUUCCACUGAGCCUUGGUAGCUUGCUACUGCUCCGGAACACUUAGGCUGGCCGGCAUGUGUCCUUCUUCGUUCCUGUGUCUGUCCCUUCGGGGAAAUGUCACGCGAUGAAUACCGGAGUCCUGUUAGCCCGCUACAGUCCGGUUCACCGGAGUCCUGCUAGCCCAGUGCUACAGCCUGGAUUCACUCGCUGAUGACCGACAUGUUCGAUGUUGGGUCAUGGAUGCCUGUCCCUGUAAGUUUGUGCCACUUUGGGUUUACGACUAGCCAUGUCAGCCCGGACUCCUUAUCAUAUGGAUGCUAGCGACACUAUCAUAUACGUGUGCCAAAAGACGCAAACGGUCCCGGGCAAAGGUAAGGCGACACCCGUGGGAAUACCGUGCGUGGGGCCGCAAAGUGAUAUGAGGUGUUACAUGCUAGAUCGAUGUGGCAUUGAGUCGGGGUCCUGACACAAGUCCUGGUGCUCGCAUUUAUUUCUGGAUUUAUUUCAGGAUUUCCGGCGAUGCGCAUUCAGUAGGAGAAGACGUUCCGUCGACGACGAGGUGCCUACGGUGACUUCGUAAAUUUCAAGAUGAUAUGCUGGCUUUGUAUUUCGGAGCUACUCAUAGGGGUAGAGUGUGCGUGUGUGCAUUCAUAUGGGUCAGUGUAUGCGCGUGUGUAUGAGCGCUUGCGUCUGUACUAUGUUUAAAAAACAAAUAUCUCGCUUGAGAAAAACACUCCGUGCUGCUUCCUUACUUUUUUUUUUUGAGAAUUUGCUACAUGCUUACUAGGUCGGCAUAUACAAGAGGCAAACGCGCUGCAGGCAAGUGUAUGAUUUCAUGGCAGCAAACGAUAUAUAGCCCUAGCGGUCGGUCCGGGCCUUCUUUUUAUGGAGGAAGGCAUCGGCCUUUGAGUGGCACAAGGGCCUUGUUUGUAGGAAGGACUAAGCCCACUUUCAUAUUAUGUUCCAGAAAUAUUUUGAAAUCAGAGUACUCCUCCUCCGUGUCCCUAGCACAUGCUAGUGAGAGAGCACUCACGCGCCCUGCACGCUGCUCAGUUGUACUGUUGACCAAUUGACCAUUGACUUUUAAAAACAAUAAAAUGAAAAAAUAUAUGAAUUGAAAGAAAGUUCAUGGAUUCUAAAAAUGUUCAUGGGUUUGACAGAAGAUCACAAAUCUGAAAAAGGUUGCAGAUUUUGAAAAUUUUCAUAGAUAUGAAACAAAGAUAAUAAAUUUUAAAAAAUUAUCAGGUUUGAAAAAGUUAACUAAUGCAAUAAAAGAUUGCGAAUUUUGUGAAAAAGAUAAUUGAUUUUGAAAAAUGUUCAUGUUUUUUUCAGUUCAUGAAUUCAGAAAAGAAUGCGGGUCCGAAAAAUGUUCACGAAUUAAAAACACAAAUUAUAAAAAUUUCUUAAUUUUUUAAAAAGUCAAUAAUUUCUAAGAAGAAAACAAAAAAUAGAAAAAGAAAAGGCCAGAAGAAACCACCGAUAAAAAGCAGAUGAACCUUCUACAAUUCUCAAAACUAAUCAGGGGAUAUUGGGCCGGCAGCCCACUUACGUCCCAGCGAACCAGGGUAUGUGUGCAUUCCAUGUGUAACACUUCGUUUGGCGCUACAAGCACCAGAAAGGAAGUGGCUCAAAAUCGGAAAUGGCCACAUGGGCCGGGUCUGCUAUAAAAAUGCCUAGCAUGGCAUGUCCCGUGUUGGCCCUUUUAUAAAAGAGUCAUGUCGUGCAGGCUCGAAGGCCUGACCAUGGAGAUCGAUGCCGCAUGCGAAGCAUAAGGGUGGAAAAUCCUAUUGGCCGCUCGUUGCUGCAAACUGCCGGCGCUUCGCACACAGCGAGCAACCGAGCGAUGCUUUUGGCCCGGCCCACUUACGUACGUAGCAUACAAACUGCCCUCUCCGGUGUUAUGAACCUUCUAGAAGGUUCCAUGAACCGUUUUUUUUCUUUUAUUGGUUUUCCACUUUUUUUUCACUUUCCUGAUUGUUUUUUCGUUUUCUGUUUUUUUUCAUUUUUUCAUUUUUGUUACCUUUUCUUUUUCAAGUUUCUUUUUCUUUUUCAGAACAUGUUUGCAGUUUUACAAAAAGAAAGGAUUUUCUUUGUUAUUUCUUUUUCUUUUAUUCUCUUUUUUCUACAAAAAAAAUCAAAGUUUUGAAAUAUUGUUCAUGUUUUCUAAAAAUGUUCAGCUUUUGAAAAAAUGUUCUCAAAAUUCAAAAAUUGUUCUCGUUACACAAAAAAGUUCAAAACUUUCGAAAUUCCAAAAAGUAGCAGAUUUCAAUAUUUUUGUUCACUUUUUGAAAAAAUGUUCGCGCUUCCAAAUUUGUUCAGGAUUUUUCAAAAUUGUUCUUCGUUUCAAAAUUUGUUCUCAAGAUUCAAAAAAUGUUCAUGCUUUAAAAAAUUGUUCGCGCUUCCAAAUUUGUUCGGGAUAUUUCAAAAUUGUUUUCCAUUUCAAAAUUUGUUCUCAAGAUUCAAAAAUGUCUGUGGUUGAAAAUAUCGUUGGCGCUUCCAAAUUUGUUCUCAAGAUUCAAAAAUGUUUCUUUUUCUUUUUCAGAACAUGUUUGCAGUUUAACCAAAAAAAAGGAUUUUCUUUGUUAUUUCUUUUUCUUUUCUUCUCUUUUUUCUUCAAAAAAAUCGAAAUUUUGAAAUUUUGUUCAUGUUUCAAAAAACGUUCAGCUUUUGAAAAAAUGUUCUCAAAAUUCAACAAUUGUUCUCGUUACACAAAAAAGUUCAAAACUUUCGAAAUUCAAAAAAUGUAGCAGAUUCAAUAUUUUGUUCACUUUUUUUAAAAAUGUUCGCGCUUCCAAAUUUGUUCAGGAUUUUUCAUAAUUGUUUUUCCUUUCAAAAUUUGUUCUCAAGAUUCAAAAAAUGUUCGUGCUUUAAAAAAUUGUUUGCGCUUCCAAAUUUGUUCGGGAUAUUUCAAAAUUGUUUUCCAUUUCAAAAUUUGUUCUCAAGAUUCAAAAAUGUCCGUGGUUGAAAAAAUAGUUGGCGCUUCCAAAUUUGUUCUCAAGAUUCAAAAAUGUUUCUUUUUCUUUUUCAGAAUAUGUAUGCAGUUUUACAAAAAAAAAAUAGGAUUUUCUUUGUUAUUUCUUUUUCUUUUCUUCUCUUUUUUCUUCAAAAAAAUCGAAAUUUUCAAAUUUUGUUCAUGUUUUCAAAAAAUGUUGAGCUUUUAAAAAAAUGUUCUCAAAAUUCAAAAAUUGUUCUCGUUACACAAAAAAGUUCAAAACUUUCGAAAUUCAAAAAAUGUAGCAGAUUUAAAUAUUUUGUUCACUUUUUAAAAAAAUGUUCAUGCUUCCAAAUUUGUUCAGGAUUUUUCAAAAUUGUUCUCCGUUUCAAAAUUUGUUCUCAAGAUUCAAAAAAAUUUCGUGCUUUAAAAAAUUGUUCGCGCUUCCAAAUUUGUUCGGGAUAUUUCAAAAUUGUUUUCCAUUUCAAAAUUUGUUCUCAAGAUUCAAAAAUGUCCGUGGUUGAAAAAAUAGUUGGCGGUUCCAAAUUUGUUCUCAAGAUUCAAAAUCGUUCGUCCUUUAAAAAAUUUGUUCACAAAUUCCAAAAAUGUUCAUGUCUUCGAAAAAUGUUUUGGGAAAUUCGAAAUGUUUGGGUUUUAAAUUCUAUUCUAUUUUUCAAAAAACUGUUCGCGAAUUUGAAAAAUGUUCUCGUAUUCAAUUAAUUUGUCCAUUGAAAAAUGAAAUUAUGAAAAUGUUCUAAUUUUAAAAUUAUUGUUCACAAAUUUUGAAGUGGUCGCAUUUAGACAAAAUGUUCGCAAUUUCAGUUUUCUUCCUUUUUUAUUCCAAAAAAAUGUUUUCGGUUUCAUACAAUGUUCUAAUUUUUAAAAUUUUGUUCACAAAUUAUAAAAUGGUUGCGUUUCAUAAAAUAUUUACUUUUUGCCAAAAAGAAUUCACGUUUGAAUUUUUUUUAAGUAUAUCCUUUGUCGCGGUUUAUAGUUCAUAUUUAUUGGGCUACCUUUUUUGACACGAAAUCUUAGAAACUAUAGUGGCUACCUACUUGUGUUGACAGGUGCCUCGCUCACACCUUGGUUCAUCGUAAUUUUGCGUAUUCAGAUUUUAUGUUUUCUCGCUACUGUUAAUUUCUUUAGGUUCGCGCUGCCAAUUUACCAUAAGAAGUAGCUAGUUGGGGCGGUGAUGUAGGGUGGAACCCUAAUUCGUCGAUCUUUCACGUUUGGAGGGGAUCCUACGGAGGCUAAAGAACGUCAAAAUCGGACUCCGGAUGAAUUAGUUAUGACCAAAAUAAAAUUUCAGUCGUGUCAGUUUCAGGGUUAACCGGACAUCCGGGAGGAGGUCCGGAUGAUCCGGGCUUGGUCCGGAUGAUCCGGGAGGAAAUCCGGAUGAUCCGGGUUCGUCAGCGCCGGUUCUGUUUUCUGGGUGCGUGGGUUGUCCGGACGUCCGGGGGGGCGUCCAGCUGAUUCGGGGGAUGUCCGGAUGAUCCGGGAGAUGGUCUGGAUGAUCCGGGCAAGUCAAACCGCUCGGGUUUUGCUCGUGGAGACGAAUUUUUGGGCGGCAAUGGGGGAUUUAGGGGUCAAAAUUGACGAGAUUUCGUGGAUGGAAGGUGGGCAAACUUGGGGAAAUGCUAGAUCCACUUGAAACCAAGCAAAUCCACGGAUCAAAAUCAACAAAACAUCAUCAAACCAACAAAUCACAAAAAAAAUUGGGGCUAUUUUUGGUGGGGAUUUUCGGAUUUAGGACGAAAACAACAAAAUCAAGCUAGAAAACACGGGGUAGGGGCUCCAAAAACGUGAUCAACGUGGCUCAUGAUACCAUAUGAUGUAGGGUGGAACCCUAAUUCGUCGAUCUUUCACGUUUGGAGUGGAUCCUAUGGAGGAAACACGAAGAACACGCGGAAGCACAAAGAGAAACACGGGGAAAACGAGAGAGAAUCACUCAACCAACAAGGAAUCGAUCACACAAGUGCUAGAUCAACAUACACACAUGAGAUCCACAAGAUACAUAGUCAACUAGGGUAAGGAUACAAAGGAACCGUUCAUCUCCAAGAGGAGGCCUCGAAUCCACGAGGGGAUCUUCCCGUAAAGGGGUCUUGAAUCCGAAAGGAUCUUCUCCGAAGAGGCCGCGGUCUCUCACGAGGAGGAGAUCCGAUAGAUGAGCGAGGCUCUAUCUCAAAAAUGAGCUAAAUCAACGCUAAGUCUCAAAGUGAGGAGAGGGGGUCCUAUUUAUAGACUUGGGGACGAAGGGGUACAUGGGCUCAGCCCAACACGCGCACACAGGCGCUGGCCGGAUGAUCCGGACGGGGGUCCGGAUGAUCCGGGCUGGUCCGGAUGAUCCGGGUGGUGGCCCGGAUGAGCUGGAGGCCCGGCUGGUGGCGGCGACGGGCCGGAUGUCCGGCUCUAGGUCCGGAUGAUCUGGGCGGGGUCCGGAUGAUCCGGGACGGGGUCCGGAUGAUCCGGCUUCAGGUUUGAGCUUCGGGAGUCUGCGGGCGAUUUAGCCGGAUCGUCCGGGCCUGGGUCCGGAUCGUCCGGGCCGGGGUCCGGAUCAUCCGGGCAUCCUGGUCCUUGGUGAUUUUUCCUCUCCGUCUUCAUGCACGCCUUCCGCUUCCGGUUCUCCUUGCUUCCUAGCUUCUUCAGGGUCGACUCCUUGGUACCUGAGUAUGCAUAGUAUUUCCGUUUGAGGUAGUAACCAUGUCUCAUGUGAAUCGAAAGGGAAUUGUGAGAGGAGUGAUGUCACCUCGGUUUCAAGAGCUCUUGCACGUGCUCGAGUCAUAGGUCCUUGUGGGGUUGAAGGUGUUGAUGUAGAGUCCAUGGGGAUGAUGGAAGGAUGCUCCGCAUCAUAUCCCCCCCCCCCCUUGGGAAAGAUCCGACCUCGGAUCGUGAUCCUCAUCACCAUGGAAAUGGUUGUCGUAGACGGACUUGUAGUUGGACGAAGUUGAAGACAUGGUGCAAUCCGCGUAGUCCAAGGUGUCGCCGGAGUGAUAGACAUGCAAAAAGAGCAAACACAAGCAACACUCGGAAAUACAAUGGUUAGCGCACACAAAGUGUCCAUCAUGUAAGAAUGAGUCCGUGCGGCAAGAUUGGUUGUGACAAAGCGCAUGAAGCUUAUCAAAAUGAUCUAUAAUGAGAUGCAAACCAUUCAUGGGAGGAAAUGCAGUCAUUUUGCACACAAAUGUGUUGUAAAUAUGAUCAAUGCAACCACGGUGCAAAGUGAUGUCAUAGUGAGACGGUUUAUCAAUAGCAUGAAUAUGGCAAUGGAUGCUCAAUAUGUAUAUGUUAUCAUGCAAUUGAUGAUGGACAAUAUGAUCAUGAUGUAUGAAUAUGCCAUCAAGGAAGAUCACAACAAAUUUGCUAAGGAAGUGAACAAUCUCAUAUAUCAUGGAUGACAUGGUAAUACAAGAUGCAACAAGGCAAUCAUAAUGUGAGUCAAUCCAUGCAUAGGGUGCAAACUUGUGGUGAGUAUGAUAUGUCCAUCGAGCAUGACAUAUAUGAGCACAAUCAACAAAUAUGGAUGUGGGAGUGCAAGGUGUCAAAGGAGUGUUGAUGUACCAAUGCUCGAUGUCGUGGCAUGAGUGGAAUUUCGAAGGUGCAUCCAAUAAGUGCGAGCGCUCCUCAAUGUGAAGGUCCAUGUAGCCAAUCUCCAAUGUCGCUCCUCCGGUCGCGAGAUGUAUCAUGUAGACAACAAGAAGGAAACAACAAUGAAAGAGUGACCCAUCCAAUAUGCAUACUUGAGGGUGGCUCAAAGGGAAGGAGUUCACCUUAUGAAUGUUCCCGAAGAUGUCGGAGUUGCACAUCAUGUAUGACUUCACAUAACCAAGUUGUCGCAUAACGGCAUCGCCUUGUGAAACCUCCAAAAUGAAAGAACAUGACAAACACUCGGAAAAACAAAUGAGGUUAGCGGAAAUGCAAAACCUAUCAUUCGAGUGGUAAGAUACCCAACAAGUGUACACAUCAUGCUCAUCAUAAGAAAGUACAAGGGAGCGUUGCAUAGUAUGGAGGCAUAUGAUGCGAGAACAACCAAAUGCAAUAGGCUCAAUCAAACAAACAUGCAUCACAAGUAAAGUGUCCAAGUCUCCAAGAUCAAUAAGCAUAGCAAGUUGGCACUCAAUACAAGGUGAUAUGAGAGAUGCAACUAAUGGAGACAAGAGGUAAUGAUCAUGACAAAUCAAGUGAGAGACAUCAACAUCUAUGUCAUCAACCCAAGAAAGCAAGUAAUAGUGGAACAUGGGUGAUGCAACAUAGCAAGCAAUCAUAGCGAUCAAGUCAAGCAAGCUAGUAGUGCGAAGAUGCAACGUACUAGAAGGAAUCAUGGCAAUCAUGUCAUGUGUGCAAAUAGUGGGCAUGAAUAAUUCACAUGUCAUAGCACAAGCAUGAAAGCAAGAUAUGAGUAAAUUGUCAUCAAUGUAUUGGCGAGAGACCAUAUGUAAAUAGCAAUGGGGCAUCAUGACUCUCCCAACACAACAAGCAUCAAUAGUAUGGGGCACAUGAUAAACAUGGCAAUAGCAACAAGGAUCUCCACCAAGCAUGCAAAUACACAUAGAAGUAGCAUAAUGAUGAAACAUGGGUAGAUGCAAGCAAGGGUCACAAUUGCAUGGCAAAGUCAUGUAAAGAGGCAUAACAUGCAAAGUGAACACGAUAGUAUGGGCAUAAGGUGACAAGUGGUAAAUAGCCCAUAGCCGUGUGAGAGCCAAGUAAAAGAGAUGCGCGUAGUCGAUGCGCAAAGAGAACGGUGGUAAGCAUAGUCCACUGGAUCCCAAGUCAUCGUUGCUCUCGAGAGCUCGUUUCGUCAACUCUUGGGAUUGAGAGGUUGACGAGUAUACAUGAGUACCUACACAAAACAAAGACAAAAGGAAAAUUGUGUGUGCGUGGUAGAUGUACACAUCAUCCAUCAUGAUGCGCACGUGCGUGUGUUUGUUAGCACUAAAUAGCCAAUGCUCAAAUAAAUGAGAUGCGUGAUAUAGAAACAUGUCAUCCAUCAUGAUAGGUUUGUUAUUAUGUAUCGCAUAAUGGAGACUCAAAUUGUGUAAUGCAUCAUGAGAAAUAUCUAGAGCAUUGUUGUUCAUGGAAUGCAUAUGGUGCACGCAGUCAUGGGAAUCAUGCAAAGUAUGGAAUGCAUCAAGAUCUCCUAAUAUGUAUGAGGAAACUAUGGGGGUCUCCUCAUGAGCAAGAGUAGUAACAUCAUGUGGAGAAUAUUGACAACAUCCAAAACAAUGCAUAUUUGGAACAAUGUGAUCAUGGCAUGACAUAUUAGAUGAAUUGCUUAAAUCAUGUAAAGGAAGCAUGGCAAUAUCAUCACAAGAGAAGCAAAAGCCAAUGACCAUCAUCUCGUCAUCUAUGCCAUAAGUGCAAAUGGGAUUGAUUUUAAUGGGGCAUGCAUAGUUACUAUGUUGAGAUUGAAAUGAUGCAAUAUGGGAGAUCUCACUCAUAGCAUAUGACAAGUUCAAAGGAUUGUCAAACAUGAAGUGACCGAUAGAAUUUUCACAUGAUAUCCUAUGAAGCAUAGCAUCACAACUAGGCAACUCAACAUGCUCAUCAUCAUAUUCAUCACAAAUAGGUAAGUCAAGGCAUGAAGAAGUCUCACUAGCAUGAAGCAUGGGAAUAGGUGGGUCAACAUCAUGGGAGCAAUCAAUGUCAAGAGAGUCCACUAGUGGGACAAGAGAAGCACCAUCACCUAUGUUACCUUUGGAGCGUCGCUCAUGUGUUGUAGGUGAGGUGUUGAAGAUCGUCUCGUUGUCAUCUUCAUCUUGAUGGAACCAUGUGGGGGUGCAUCAUCGUCCAUCAUGGCCAUCGUCGUCUCCAUAGGAGGUAUGGACUCAUCAAUGGUAGGCGUGUCGUCAUGUAGGAGACCUAGCACCAAAGAAGAAAACACACUAGGAGUAGAGGUUAAGUCGUUAGAAAUCAUAGUGGCCUCACAUGCCGUGUCAACUACCUCACUCUCUAAGUGUUGUGGCUCACUCACUCCCUCAAGGAUGCUCUCACUCAUAUGGCUGGUGGAGUCACUCAAAUGGCGCUCAACCUCACAUAGGAUGUGUGGCAUGCUCUCAUGUGUGGGUCUAGUGGUGGUCACACUCAUCCUCUCAUAGGAAAUGCUCUCAAUGUCACGUAUGGUGGAGUCACUCAUGUCACUCAUGGGGUGGUGGCUCUCCUCACAUGGCACUUGGCGCAUCUCGACAUAUGUGGGUGUCGGAGAGAUGUUGGUGCAAAUGUCUCCAUGCUCAACUCCUAUCGCCGUAGUCGAAGGGGAUGGCCCUUGAUCGACCUUCUUGUCACCGUCUUGGUGUGGGAGGCCCAUAUGAUGUGGCACCUCGUAGCUCGCCUCCAUGACCGAAGGGAGUUUCCCAUGCUCGGCCAUCUUCCUUGAGGGGCUUCCGAAGAUGGAAGUGUCACCCUCGCUCGUAGGUGGUCGCCUUGGACUUGAUGAAGUCGAUGUAUGCGUACUCGUGGGAAGUAGGCGAAGAUGCCGUACAUUCAAAGGCGAAGAUGCCUUGAGAACACUUGGCGAAGAUGCCGAAGUGGUUGAUGUAGCCGUAGCGCCGUCUUGGUGGUGGUCAUCUCGCGGUCUUCUUUUGUGCUCUUGAAGCUUGGACUUGGCGUGAAGUAGGUCUUGUUGGGACUUGUGCAUUUGCGCUUGUGGAGCAUCUUCAUGAUGAUGAUGUCGUUGUCGUGCUUGAGCUCGUAGUAGAUGUCGUUCGUCGUCGUCGUGCACAUGAUGCUUGGAGGUGACUUGCCCUUCAUGACGAUGUUGAUCACGAACGUGAUGGUGGUCGCCAUGUAGAUGUGGACGAGGACGAUAUGCACUUGCAUCUUUUUCGCGCUCCGAAGACUUGUGGCUUGACCGUCGUCGUCUUGAGGAUGAUGAAGGGGAAGAAGACUUGAUCAAGGCUCUAAUCUCCUCCAUCCUCGCAUCUUGCUCCUCCUUUUGUGCGGCAAGCUUGUUGUCGAUGUAGUCCCUUUUCCUUGCUUCGGAGUGGAAAAUGUCGAUGGAGAGGUUCUCAAUGCGCUCUUGCAAUCUUGAUUGUGCGCCUUGCAUUUGUUGUUGUAGUCCGAAGAUGGACCUUUUGGUGAUGUAGUUGUUCACGCCGUUGUUGUUGUCAUAGACCGGAGAGGGAAUGCCUUGCCUAUCCAUCACAAGACUCGAGCAAAUAUGAGUGGGAGAAAGAGAAGAACUUAUACCAAUGUACCUUGACCGAUGUUGACAAUGAAUCAAGUUCACUCAAAUGCGGACAAUGAAAUAGCACUAUUGGUACCAAUCCUUGUUGGUUCUCACAACUACACAAGUAAAGCUUAUGGUGGAGCUCGGUGAGGAUAGUGGCACAAAAAUUUGAUGCAAAAUGUUAGCAAGAGUUAAUAAUGUUGAAAAAGAUUCACAAAUUCGCAAGUGAAACAAAUGGACCAAUAGCAAAGAAUGGCACAUGGAAACACACACACGGAUAGAUAAAUGGGGUCGUGCAACCAAGGAAUGAGCACAAAAUGUGGAAUCCACGGAAAACGCUCGUGUUGCACAACUCAAGAGAGACACUAGCACGAUUGCUCAAUAGGCGGAUACGACACUUGUGCACAACCUAUAAUAUGCAAAAUGGAUAUUCUUCUAUCCCAAGUAUGCUAUGUAUGUAUGGUUCCCGGUGUUCCUCUCAAGCAUGAUACUAUAUGAUGUAGAUUUGACAAUCUUAUGUGCAAUGGGGUAUGAUGCUAUGGCACUUGCUCACGAGCUCUUUGCUCUCUUUUUCUUGCUUAAAAGCUUUUUUUUCAAUGGCCACUUUUGCACAAUGCACAAACCAAGAUAGCAAUUGUGUAUAUGCGGGAACAAACUUGAGGCACAAUGGAUGAUAUGAUACCAAGAUGAUAUGGUAUGUAUGCAAUGGAUGGUGGAUCACUAAUGUGCACAAGUAACGUUGCCGGCAAUACUCAAAUGGCUAGUCUCGAUAGUCAAGUAACGCAAAAUGGGCUAGGGGUUAACAAUGCAAUUGCAAGGGAAUAUACAAUGGUGUCAUCGAGGUUACCGUCCUUUGUGACGAUGAGUGGCGGUGUUCUUGGUGUAGAUACCAAGAUGAUGGAGACUCGUCCCUAAGUAGCCGAAACACCUUAGGAAACGGAAAAACCGCAAACUCAAAAUCUCAAAUGACAAAUGUCAAAUGGUGGUAGCGGAAAGCGGUGGUGGUGUUGCACUAGGCAAUGCGGAAGUGGAAUGAUGGGCUAUACACGAGUCGGAGUGGAAGUUGCCGUCCCUAAGUAGCCGAAACACCUUAGGAGACACAAGCCACAACUCAAACAAAAUUGGGUUAAGUUAGGGUGGAAUUGUAUGGUGGGCAAGGUUAUGUGGAAGUGGUGGUGGUGGUUGAUGAAGAAGCAAUUGUCCCUAAGUAGCCGAAACACCUUAGGAGACUCUAAUCACAACUCAAACAACCACAUAUGCAAUGGGGAACAAAAUGGGUUAGGUUGCGGAAGUCGGUGGUGGCUAUGCGGAUGAUAUGGUGGAAGGCCUAGGCAAACUUGCCAAAUUUCAGAAAAUAUGAUGGAGUCAAAUGAUGUUGGUGGUAUUUUUGUGGGAUGGGGAAUGUCAAGAGCUUCAAAGCGAGCUAAAGAACGUCAAAAUCGGACUCCGGAUGAAUUAGUUAUGACCAAAACAAAAUUUCAGCCGUGUCAGUUUCAGGGUUAACCGGACAUCCGGGAGGAGGUCCGGAUGAUCCGGGCUUGGUCCGGAUGAUCCGGGAGGAAAUCCGGAUGAUCCGGGUUCGUCAUCGCCGGUUCUAUUUUCUGGGUGCGUGGGUUGUCCGGACGUCCGGGGGGGCGUCCAGCUGAUCCGGGGGAUGUCCGGAUGAUCCGGGCAAGUCAAACCGCUCGGGUUUUGCUCGUGGAGACGAAUUUUUGGGCGGAAAUGGGGGAUUUAGGGGUCAAAAUUGACGAGAUUUCGAGGAUGGAAGGUGGGGAAACUUGGGGAAAUGCUAGACCCACUUGAAACCAAGCAAAUCCACGGAUCAAAAUCAACAAAAUAUCAUCAAACCAACAAAUCACAAAAAAAUUUGGGGCUAUUUUUGGUGGGGAUUUUCGGAUUUAGGACGAAAACAACAAAAUCAAGCUAGAAAACACGGGGUAGGGGCUCCAAAAAUGUGAUCAACGUGGCUCAUGAUACCAUAUGAUGUAGGGUGGAACCCUAAUUCGUCGAUCUUUCACGUUUGGAGGGGAUCCUACGGAGGAAACACGAAGAACACGCGGAAGCACAAAAAGAAACACGGGGAAAACGAGAGAGAAUCACUCAACCAACAAGAAAUCGAUCACACAAGUGCUAGAUCAACAUACACACAUGAGAUCCACAAGAUACAUAGUCAACUAGGGUAAGGAUACAAAGGAACCGUUCAUCUCCAAGAGGAGGCCUUGAAUCCACGAGGGGAUCUUCCCGUAAAGGGGUCUUGAAUCCGAAAGGAUCUUCUCCGAAGAGGCCGCGGUCUCUCACGAGGAGGAGAUCCGAUAGAUGAGCGAGGCUCUAUCUCAAAAACGAGCUAAAUCAACGCUAAGUCUCAAAGUGAGGAGAGGGGGUCCUAUUUAUAGACUUGGGGGCGAAGGGGUACAUGGGCUCAGCCCAACACGCGCACACAGGCGCUGGCCGGAUGAUCCGGACGGGGGUCCGGAUGAUCCGGGCU